CGAAAUAUCAACGGGACCUCCACAAAGCAAUACUAAUAUAACCGGAUUUUUAGCUGCCUUUGCAACACUCAUGAUAAGACUCUGUUGCUGACCUGGAAGUACCAAGUCUUCUCGAUCCAAAUCUUCGCGCUCAAAAUCUUGAUUGAUUCCCAUUACGAGUACAACGUAAUCUGCUGAUCUGGCAAGUCUCAUCGUUUCUCGUGAGGCAAUUGAGGUGCAGUUGACGGUUUCGCAGCCCUGAUGGAAUUCGAUUCUCUCGACAUAAUUCAUUAGUCCUUGUAGUGGAGUAAUUGUCUUGCAUGGGGGGCCCGCGUAGCUUCCUAAGAGUGUUUCCGAUACAUUGGAAUUGGGGCCUAUUACUGCAAGAGACUUUGUUUUCGACUUUGAUAGUGGAAGUAGAUUUGCAGAGUUCUUUAAAAGGACAAUGCCAUCACGAGCAACUUCAACGGCUAAAUCUUGAUGCUCGGGACUACAUACGUCGUUACGGCUUAGGUUCCCGUAUACAUGUUUACUUGGAUUUCCGUUGAAAAGUCCUAAUCUCAUCCUGAUUGUGAAGCUGUUAUGAAGGGCUCUGUCUAUAUCAGAUUUCGACACUUUCCCCUUUUCGACUGCUGAUUUUGCGUGAUUCGCCAAAUAGUCGCCGCAUUCGACAUCCAAUCCUGUUUUUUUUUUUCGAUAGAAGAUUUCAUUAGAAAGUUGUUCGAAUACAUUAUAUUAAAAUUUUAAAUUGAGCCUAUAUGUUUAAAUUAAAAAAAAAAAAAAAAAUCUUGAAAAUGGUACAAUGUUACCUGCUUUAAGCACAUCUGCCACAGCGUCUUCGGGUGAUUUUGAGUAUUUUUGCAUCUCGAAUAGAUGCGUGACCGCUUGAUCAUCUGAUACUACAUACCUGGUCGUUUUCAGUGACACGAUUAGACACAUGAUUAAUAAACAUCAGCAAGAACCUAAGGCCUCAUUUGGUUGUCAAGAUAGGAGUAGUCAAUAAAUGAUUUAAUAAUCUAAUAUUAUUUUAUCAAACCCUGAAAGGGCCAACAAAAAAUCUCCCUAAAAGUUAUUUGGUUUAUCAAAUAUUAAACAAGGUCCAAUUAUUUAGUUAAUCAUGGCUAAUCAUCUCAACCUAAUUGUAUUUUCAGAUUACUAAAAGAGUUACCCUUGGAAUCCCCAUUCGCCACGAGCAGUUUUCGUUAAUAGAUCGUAAUCAGCACAAUUCGGAACGCCGUUUACAGAGUUAUAAGCACACAUAAUCCCGCUCGCCCGACCAUCUUUCACACAUGUUUUGAAAGGCGGUUGAUACGUAUCUGCCAUGUCCUGCUCUGUCACCUAUACGAAAAUAAAGCCAAACAACCGAUUCUCGUAUUAAUAUUCAAUUGCAACUUAAUUAAAGAAUUGUUUAUCGAUAAUUAGAAAAGAAAUAUAACAUACAUACACGAGCGUCGAACGUAAAACGACUAUUCCCGUUCCAACUCUCCAAAUCAUAGGCAGUGAAGUGCUUGCAACAUGCGGAGGCUAAAAGACGGCCGUCUUUGAGUUGGCCGCCUUCGAAGCUGUCCCCUUGGAUUCCGCGAACAAACGAGACGGCGUAUUUGCUUGUCAUAAAAGGGUCUUCGCCAGGUGUCUCUUGCCCCCUUCCCCACCUCGGAUCUCGGAAAAUAUUUACGUUCGGCGACCAAAAUGUCAUGCCUUGUGCCUCCCCUUCAUUGUAUAUAGCUCUAGCUUCUGUUCCUAUUGCCUUUCAGUUAAUGCAUAGUACUCAAAUUGUAUUAGAUACUAACAAAAGCAUUCUAAAGCUGCAUGAUCAAUACUAGUGAAGAUUCAGCUGCAAAUUGACAUCUUGAUUUAGGGAAAAUUACGAAAACCCCCCUAAACUUAGGCUAAAUUAUGAAAAAUACCCCCACCUAUCCAUAAUUAUCAAAAUCCCCCUGAUGUUUGUUUUUGUCUUACACCGACCCCCUUAUGGAACGAUUUUUCACGAAAUCAUUUUGAGUCAAGGGAAUAUUUCUCGAAGAAUGUCGAUUCUACCCAUGUUGACGUGGCAUUUCAUUAUGCUACUUUUUAAAGACGAAAAUUACCUUUAAGGGGGCUUUUAUACGGAAUUUUUAGUCUUCUUAAAUAACACAUUCACAUCGUUUUGAGUAUAUUACCAUUACAUCUCUAGGUUAACUUUUUAUUUUAAAAAGUAACAUAAACAUGUUCAGUCUCCAAGUGUAGAAUUAGCAUUUUUCGCGAAAUAUUCCGUAGUAUAAAACAAAUUUCGUGAAAAACCAUACUGUAAAGGGGUCGGUGUAAGACAAAAACAAACGUGACGGCGAGUUUGGUAAUUACGGAUAGAGUGUGGUGUUUUUCAUAAUUUAGCCUAAGUUUAGAGGAUUUUCAUAAUUUAUCGAAUAUUUUAAUUGUCUUUGAUCUUUUAUGUAUUAUCCUCUUUAAUAAUAUGGUCUGCUGCAGCUAGUGGUGCUGUGUUUUAUAAGGUAAGAUGUUAAAAGGAGCUUAUAAGAAAUUUAAGAGCUUAUAAGCUUUUUCAAAGUGCUCGCUAAUUUUUUUUUUAAAUAUCAUAACUUUUUUUUUAAAAUAAGCUGUUGGAGAGCAAAUAAAUUUUUUUUUUAAAAAGUACAUCUACCCCACCUUUUUAUUUAAGAUCUUAUAAUGAGUAAAAAUAGCUUAUAAGAUCAUUAUCCAAACAGUUUAAAAAUUAAUUCUAAAAACAAGAUGAAACAGCUUAUCAGCUCUUAAAAUAUCUUAUCGAACGUAAGAGCUUAUAAGUUAUUUAGAAUAAGUUUAGCCAAAUGGGCCCUAAAUAAUAAAUCGCCAACACAUGGUGAUUAAAAUAUUCAAAAAAAAAUUGAAAAUAAAGAAUCAAGAUUGUGACAUAUUACAAUUGAGCCCACCACGUUCUACUCUAAGGUCAUAAUUUUUGCUACGGAUAAAAUACUAACCUUGGCAAUUCGAUACCAAAGUUUCUCAUCGAAUGUAGCUGCAGUAAGUAUAACUUGUGGAAAACUAGUUGCCGCCUGGAUACUCCCGCCGAACGUGAUGCCGGAGGCCGCUACCAUGGACCCUGCAACUCCAUGCAGUGCCUCCGACCACCACUGGUAGUCGGGGAUUCCUAGCCGUGGGAUGGCCGGUGCGGUGUUGACCAGCUGCGAGAUUUUCUCGUCCAACGAGAGUCGGGAAACCAAGUCGUAGGCCCGCUCGUGUAACGGCAAAUCGACGUUGCAGAAUGGGAAUGACUUUGUGGAUGGAUUUUCGGAGUCGCAAGAGAAUGGUGGGAGCGGUUGUUUGGAAUUAUCGGCUUCGAUAUUCGCAAGCAUGAUAGAGCAUAUGAAUAUUGCAUAAGCUAUGAGAGACAUUGUACGGAUCAUGCAGAUCAAACUAUGUCUAAUUUUUUUUCUAUUUAUUGGGGAGAAAUGAAGCACAACACAAUAAAAGUCAACUAGGUUUCUCUUUUGAAAUAAAUUAUCAAGACUUUCAUUAGAGAACAUCUAUAUAUAUGGGUUUCUCGUUUGGUGGUUGGGAUAUAUAUAUAUGUAUAUAUAUAUAUAUAUAUAUAUAUAUAUAUGGGGUGAUUACAAAUAAGUCUAUCAAUGGGUACUUAUUCAUAAAGAAAUCGAGACAAAAAACUCUUUUACAAAUAAGUCCACACAUGAUCCAUAUUUUUGUAGAAGACUAAAAUAGCCCCCUCAUACUUUAAUAUGCUCUAAUUUCAUCAUUAAUUUAAUUUAACCUCAAUUUGACCCCAAAUUUCAUAUAUUAUUCAAUUUUGACCCCCAAAACUUUUUUUUUUGCCGCCGGAUUCCGGCGUUACCGGCGUAGCAUUUUUUUCGUUUAAACAACAAUAUUGCUGUGAUUGAUAGUAAUAUUAACUAUAUUACUGUUAAACAUAGUAAAAUUAACUAAACUACAGUUUAACACAGCAAUAUUGCUAUAUUAAUCUCUAGCACAGUAAUAUUAACACAACAAAACUUAUUAUUAUUGUGUAAUAGAGUAAUAUUACUAUGUUGACCGUUCAAAAAAUGUAAACAUAAUAAAAAUCCAAAAGAAUUAAUAUUACUGUGAGUGACAGUAAUAUUACUAUAACAAUAGUAAUAUUAUCAUCAACCACAGUAAUAUUACAAUAAUAGACAAUAGUAUUAUUACGUUACUCCGUGAAUAACUCAAACAAACAAAAUAAAUCCAAACAAAAUAAUAAUAUUGAUGUGGUUGACAACAAUAUUACUAUAACAACAGUAAUAUUACCAUCAACCACAAUAAUAUUAUUGUGUUUACAGUAAUAUUACAAUAAUAGACAGUGAUAUUAUUACGUUACUCCGUGAAUAACUCAAACAAAACAAAAAACCCAAAACAAUAAUAAUAUUGAUGUUGUUGACAGUAAUAUUAUUGUGUUUACAGUUAUUUUACUGUCAACAACAGUAAUAUAAUUACAUUGACUUGUCAACAAAUCAAACAAAAUAAAAAAAAAAUAACAAAAAAAAAAUAAUAAUAAUACGUUAAUUUACUGUCAACGGCAUAACAAUUACAUAAAUGUAUUGUCAACGGCGGUACAAUUACGUUAAUUAACUGUCAUUCACAGUAUAAUUACGUUAAUUUACUGUUUUACGGUCGACGUUAAGCGGCGGACGUAAAAAAAAAAAAAAAAAAAAACACUAGAAAAAAUCAAUGCCGGAAAAAAAAAAAGAAAAAAAAAAUGUCAACGCCGGAAACCGGCGAAAAAAUCCGGAAGAAACAAAAACAAUCGAAAAGUCAACACCAGAAUCCGACAGCAAAAAAAAGUUUUGAAAAAAAAAGAAGUCAAAAUUAGAUUUUUGUGGUCAAAAAUGGAUUUUUGUGGACAAAAUUGAUUAAAUUGGGGUUACAAUUAAGAAUUGAGUAUAUAGUAGGGUUGGAGGUAAUAUUGUCAUAUACAUGAAUGUUUUCUUUAUUUAUAAUAAAUAUUAAAGGGAUGUGUUUAUUGGUGAAAGAGAUAUAGCCUCUAGACUUAGAAUAAUAAAGAUGUUUGGUUGGGGACUUAUGCACAACACACACACACACAUACUUAUGGGGAAAAAUACAGUUUUCAUCCCUCAAGUUUGCACUGAUUUCACAAUUGGUCUCCUAUGAUAAAAAAAAUACAUUUGGUCCCUCAUAUUUUAAAAAUUCAACGCUUUUAGUCAUUUCCGUUAAAAAUAACGGAAUCAAACGUGUGUCCUCACUACCGUAGCUGACAGAGUAACGGUAAAUUGACGAAAAUGACAAAAUAAGUCAAAUUAUUAAAACAUGAGGACCAAAAUGUCUUUUUUUUUUUUAACAUAGAAGACCAAAUGUGCAAUUGUUGCAAAUUUAAUGGGUACACUACAACCACCCCUAAUGUAUGGUCAAAUUACGAAAACUCCCUCCUGUUUGGGUAAUUACAACCACCCCUCAACUAUAAAUCUUCUUACACGUCCAGCCUUGCGGUUUCAAAUUUAGUGGAAUCUUCGAGAUUAUAUGGAAUGUUAUCACUUUUGUACCCGUUUUAUCCCAUUCGAACAACACAUUCUAAAACAAGAUGAUCAUAAUAUGUGUCUUUUGGCUUGUAUAUACCAGAUUGUGGUGCAUCAGAAACUGUAUUUUUACACACAAUGAGUACAAACUAGAGCAAAUUCCACGAAAUCUAGAUGAUUAUGUUGAAUUUGACACCAUAAGGGUGGAGGUGUAAGAAAAAAUCAUAGUUGAGGAGUAGAUGCAAUUAUCCAAACAAGAGGGAGUUUUUCGUAAAUUGAUCAUACCUCAGGGGUGGUUGUAAGUUACCCUUGCUUUUUUAAUUAAGACAAGUUUUACUUUCGCGGUCAAUUUUAUUACUGUAGCAAUCAAAUUAUGUCCGGCAAAAAGAUAAACUUAUGAAGUUCUUUUAGCAAUUCUUUUAUGAAAUCUUAACGAAAACGAAUUCAUUUUAGGGAAAGAAUAAAAGUGAAAAGAAAACUGAACCAAACAUUAUCUUAUUCUUAUAUAUGUUUUGCCAAUGCAGAGUGGAUUAUUAUAAUAAUGUUACCUGGUUUUAUUACUAAUGCAUAUCUUUUCUGGAGGAGUCCAGUCAGCAAAAUUACACAAAGAGAAAUAUUAGCUGGCAUUUCUAAUAAAACGGAAAACUCAGAUGUCAAAUCAAGACAAGCGAACACGUUUUAAUUAACAUGCUUUGUUCCCACUCUGAUGAGGAUCAGUGGGACCACAUACUUAAUUGUUGUUAUAUUAAUUAUUAUUAGUUAAAUAAUAUAUUUGACACGUUUUUUAAUUAACGUCAUAUUCAUUAUUAAUUAUAAUUGAAACUUAAUUGUUGUUAUAUUAAUUAUUUAUUAGUCAAAUAAUAAAUAUUUUUAAGGAGAAUAUACAUAUAGUGGUUGAAAUUGAAAUAAAACUUAUAAAAUUAAAACGAUAAAAUAUAAUAAUUGUGUAAAAUAUAAACAUUGCUGGUUGGAGUGAACUGCUAAAAUUGGUGUUUUAAGACACUAUUCACUUUUUGUUAUAGAUAUAAAUGACUAUUUAUAAACGAUCGAUUAGAGAUGGUCUAACAUGGAAUGCGAGCUAGGUGUCGGUCACGGCACGCGAACUCGUGAUCGUCGAUAGCUAUGGAAAGACGAGGUUUAAUGCCUUGGAGAAAAAAAUGCUUGAAUUAGGUCCGGGUUGAUCCAGCAAAAUCUCUAUAGUGCUCAGUUAACUCUACAUCGAGUGGACUCAUUGACCCGGUCCCACCAACCAUAUAGUUUUACAGUUGUAGACAGUGGCGAAGCCAGAAUUUUAUUAUGAGGUGGACGGGGCGAAUUAAAAUAUAACAUAAAAAAUUAAUGACAAUGAUGAUUGUUUAAGGAGUGGAGAAUGUAAAAUUUUGUUACAUGGUGUUUUUAAUUUUCAUUUUUGUUGAUAAAACCAGAAGAUAGGAAAAGUAAAAAAAUAACAUAAAAACUUGAAGGACUUUUUUUGAAUUACUUUGAAUUUUGGGUGGACUAAAAUAAAUAUAAAGGUAUAAUAAAGUAUAAUAUUUUUCAAUUGAGAGUGGUGUUGCAAGCCCCCGGUUCUGAGCCAUAAUUCGUAACUUUCUUAUCCAACUUGUUACACUGAUUAUUAUUUUUCUUUAUUUUUUUCAGUUACAAGUAAUUAAUUUUAUUUAUUAAAAAAACUAAAUUAUUAAAAAUUGUACGGUCACAAUACAAAACAAUAAAUUAUAUAUACAUAUCUAUUGGGAAAAUUACAUUUUUCAUCCCUCAAGUAUGCAUCAAUCUCACGUUUGGUCACCCAUGUUCAUAAAAAACACAAACGGUCCCUUAUGUUUCAAUAAUUAAACACUUUUGGUGAUUUCCGCCAAUUUACGGUUACUUCUUCUGUUAAGGUAGUCAUUGGCACACGCUUUAUUUCGUUAAUACGAACGGAAAAUUAAUAGAAAUGACUAAAAAUAUUGAUUUUUUAAACACGAGGGACCAAAUAUUUUUUUUAAUGAAUAUAGAGGAUUACAUAUGAAAAUCGCUAUAUUAGUAAAGAAAAUUAAAAAUUGAUGUCGGCCCCUGCCCCUACACUGGCUUCCCGAAUGGUUGUAGAGCCAUUAUAUUUUAUGAAUGAAAUGAAAUAAUCUCUCUCUUAUUUAAAUAGCGUCCACGUUGAUAACAUGUACAAGAAACUAAAACAAGAAAGUUAUUAUCAAACGCAAUUUGAUUGUAUGUUGGACCAAAAUGCAGCAGCAGUGGAUAAGAUGCGCCAUGCUUUUAUAUAUAUAUAUAUAUAUAUAUAUAUAUAUAUAUAUAUAUAUAUAUAUAUAUAUAUAUAUAUAUAGUAGGUAAAGUGUGUGAUCACGGAUUGCUGCUUGCUUGAAUUUUUGAAUCACCAACUAACUUCUCUACAUUAAAUUACAUUGCACCUAACUUUAUCAAAGAAUCGUUUAAUUUGUGGUCGUCAAAUUGGUGUAACGAUCGGGCCCGGGUGAUCAAUGACCAAGAAUCGUCUGUGGGUCAUCAAAUUGGUGUAUAUAUCGGGCCCGGGUGAUCAAUGAGACGACGAUGACCCAGCCAAGUUACCCGAAUGGUUAAUCAAACAUGGGGUAUAGCUACGGAUAAUUAUAGUUUCGGUCCCUAUACUAUACACCAUUUCUUUAUUUUGGUCCUUAAACUUUUUCUGUCACGAAAUUCGUCCUUAAAUAAUCAGUUUUUUUUACAAUUUUCGUCCACCGUUUGAUAUUGCUGUUACUUUGGACGGAAAAGUCACGUGGGAGGCACGUGACAAUGCACAUUAACCCCUUCUUUUUUAUCUAUAUUGUUAAUUUAACACCAAUAUCAUUUUAUUCUUACACUUUCAUCCAAAUAAAAAUAAAUUCGAGAAAUGUACAAAAAGUGUGAAAUGACAAAAAUACCAUAGGAGGGUUUUAGGAAUUAGUUCAUUAUAUUUUAUUCACAAAUAUUAUUUAUUUCUUUAUUUUAAUUUUUUAAUCGAAAACAAUAUAACUAAAUUGAUUAUACCAAAUUUUAUUAAAGAGUUUUUUUUAUAAAUAUAAUUUAUUUCAUUAUUUGUAAUUAUUAAUAUGUAAAAAAUAAUUAAACAUAUAUUGUAAUUUCAUAAUAUUGUUUUGAGUCGUUUAUACAAUAAAAUCAAUUUUACCCAACCUUAAAAAAUUUAUUGUAGUUUUAUUAUUCUUUAAUAAAUUUGUAGUUCAAUUUUAAAUAAAAAUGCAAACAAAAAAAAAUCAAUUAAUUUAAUUAAAAAAAAAAAAGUGACACACAUAUACAGUUGAUGGCUCGGCGCCGGAGGUAAAAAUGACAGAUGGGGCGGGGCUGGGGCAUUCAGAACAAUUUUUGGGGAUUUGAUUAUUUUUUUGGACGAAUUUAUAACAAUAAAGUUAAACUGUGGCCAAAUAAAAAAUACAGGUAAGGAUAGAAGUGCGUGAUCACAUGCCUCGCAAGUGACUUUUCCUCCCAAACUAACAACAAUUUCAAACGGUGCACGAAAUUUGUAAAAAAAAAAAAAACUAGUUAUUUGAGGACCAAUUUCGUGCCAAAAAAAGUUUAAGGACCAAAAUCGAAAAAGACGUAUAAUAUAGCGGCCAAAACUGUAAUUAUCACAGUUUAGCUAAUUUUGUUUUCUUUUCUCGAGCAUGACUACUGAUGAAUGUAAAGACUCAAUUCAAAUAUAAUCGAGCCGAGCCGUCAUGCUUCAGAUGGGCCCGACUUAAUCGCCGAUCCUGUGUCUAUGAAUGUAAAGAAAAUAGUUGCGGGUAUUACAAGUACAGACACGUGUUUGGCUAUCUGACUAGACGAUCGCGAUAGCUAGCUGACACGUGUUUGCGGACAUUGUCGAUUGAUUUCGAAGGGGAAGGGAAUAUCACCAUAGGUCGCAACAUUAUACUAUUGGCACACCAAAACUAAACCCACGAAUUGUGGAGAUUAGAUGAAGUCUUUGCUUUAAGAUAUUAGUGAAUUGCUUUAUCUAUUUUGCACGUUUCUUUUACAUGUUUACAAAUUACAAUACGUAUUUAAGUUGAGUAAACUGCAAAAAACACCUCUGUGUAAUCUCUAAAUAGCGAAAACCCCCCUAUGAUAAAUAAACUAGCAAAAACCCCCCCUUAUGAAAUUAUUUAAAUAGCACACUCGGCCCAUUACUCAUUUGAGGGUUGACUUCAUAUAAAAAGACCCAAAUACCCCCGGGAUUUUGCAAUUAAUAAAUUCUUAUAUUUUUUAAAUAUUUUAAUUAUUUUAUUUUUGUUAUAUCUUAAUUAUAAAGGUACAAUGGGGUCUUUAGUUUAUUUCUAUUUUUAUUAUCACAUAAUUUUGGUACAUAUUUUAAAUUAUCCCUACAUCAAAAGAAAACUUAAAUUUCAUUAUUAUGUAUUUAAAAAAAUAUAUACUUAAUUUGGUUAACAAAUUUUUAAUAAUUUUUCAAUUUAAUUAUUUACUAUUUUUUAACAAUAUUUUAAUUUUUAAACAACCAAAUUAAAAAGAAAAUAUAUAUACAUAUAAUAUAUAUACAUAUAAAUACAUUUUAAGGGUCAAUUUCGUCAUUUCAUGUCAAAAAACCAACUCCCAGUCGCGCAACCCGCGAGUGAGCCACACACAAGUCAACUAGGGGGGUUUUUGCCUUUGACUAAAUUUCACAGGGGGGUUUUGGCUAGUUUAUUUAUCACAGGGGGGUUUUUGCUAUUUAGAGAUUACACAGGGGUACAUUUUGCAGUUUACUCUAUUUAAGUUAUAUGAUCAAAUUACAAAAAAGUUCAUCGUGUUUGGAUAAUUACAACCAUCCCCUUAAUUAUGUAUUGUUUUAGGAAAAACUCCCUUCUUCAGUAGGUAAAUUUAGCAAUGUAAGGAUGUAUGUGUAAGACAAUACGUAGUUGAGGGUGGUUGUAAUUACUCACAUGAAGGUUUUCUUGUAAUUUAAUCAUGAAGGGUUUUCUUGUAAUUUAAUCAUGAAGGGUUUUCUUGUAAUUUAAUCAUACUUAGUGGGAUGGCCGUAAUUUACCUUAAGUUAUAUUAGGUAGUAGAAAGUUUGAGGUAUAUCGGGAGAGAAAACAUUCAAAUAGAUUAAAGAGAUACAUGGGUGUUUAAGUGUUUGUAAAAUAAACUUUUGUUUUUUUGCUCCUAUUAACAUGAGCUGCUCUAAGCCAUAAUCUUAAAAACAUCCAUGUAUCUUUUUAAUCUAUUUUAGUUGAUUUUCUAGCUAAGUUCCAAAUACCCCAACUUUUAAAAAUAACCAUUUAAUUCAAACUUAACUCACAGUCACAAACUUCUUCUUUUAAAUAAGCUUUUGCAAACACCACCUUAAUCCGAUAGAAGAAAAUUGCUUUUUUUUUUUUUUGCUUAUACUAAAAACUUAUUUUCAACGUCGCCGACUAUAUGCUCUUUUUAUGAAUUUUAUUAUGCAAUUUAAUAACUAUUAAUAUAGUGUAAAACAAUCAUUUUUUUUAUUAAAUGUUAUGUGAAAUUUGAUGAAUAUAUUUGAUGAUGCUAGAGUUAGAUCAUCUUAGAGAGUCGAAGUAGGAUGAGCUGUAAGAGCAAAGUGGAUCACUGGCUCACGAGCUUGAUGACCUUGAAAUACCUGUGAUCAUAGAACACGUAAACUAAGUCGGAGGUUGAUCCGGCGGAAACCCCUCCGACGCUCAAGUCAGACGCGCGGAUAGUAGAAAUAGUCCAAAUAAUACAGGUUGUAGUAUUGGUCAGAUAAUAGGACGUCCCUUAACAAAUGAGUUAGAAUCUUUAUUUAUACCUUGUUGGUUGGGCAGGAGUUGGUUAAUUGAGAUUGUCGGGCUCAAACCUUCUUUGAAGGUGAUUGGGCCUCGCUGGUAGUGGUAUUCAAUAUUGAGCUCGUGAUCCAGUAGAUAAAGAAUUAUAGGCCCAUUGGAUUGACGCAAUUAGGUAUAUCAUUAUCAUAUAGUAUAAAAUAAUUACAAGUAACAUAAAAAUUAAUUAGAAAGUCGCUUGAAAUAUUACAAUUUGGUUACUCGUACUUCAAAUUAAUAAUAAAAAUAUAAAUUGAUUCAAAUAUAACUAAGGUGAAAAAUCAAAAUCGAGAUUUGUUCAAUAUUUUGUUUUGCAAAUAAUCCACUUUCUUCCUCUUGCCUUUACUUUAACAAUUCAAAAAGAAAUGGUCAAAUAAUAAUAAUAAUAAUAAUAAUAAUAGUUCAAAUUAGUUAACCAAUAAACAUUAAACAUGCGAAUGCAUGUGUAAUGAGAAUUGGCCGAAACUCAUGUCUUCAGAAUGGGUCCACAAGAAAGAGAUAUAAUAUUUAUUGAAUUGUCACGUGUCUUCUAUUGAAUGGAGUAUGUUUAUAUGCAAUUAACGGAGCAUCAGUUUUGUAGAACUUACACCUAAAAUACACCUUAUAGUUUUACAUCAUUAAUCUACUCAAAAUAAGACACACAAUCAUGUGUAUGUGAUCUUAGUGGAUAGUUAUUUAUAUAUAUAUAUAUAUAUAUAUCUACGGUUUAAGACCGCAUAGUGCAUUUCACCAGGUGUAGGAUCUUAUUAGCCACAGUGCAUCCAUUACUCCCGUAUAAUUAGAAUAGUUCUUUUUUUUUUUUUUUAAUUGAAUUAGAAUAGUUGUUAAGAGGGAAAAAUACACUUUUUGUACCUUAAGUUGAUCUCGAUUUUACAUUUGUUCCUCAUUGUUCACACAAAAAAAAAAAAAAAAAAAAAAGCCAUAUAGUCUUUCAUGUUUAAAAAAAUUAACAUUUUUAGUUUUUUAGUCAAUUUUCCAUCAUUAGUGACAGAAUAAUGGUAAAUUAACGCUGUAUUGAAACCUAAGAGACUAAACCUAUUAUUUUUCUAAAUAAAAAGGACAAAAUGUGAAAUUGAGAUAACGCGAGAGAUGAAAAAUGUAUUUUUUUUCGUUGUUAUGUCUUAUUUAAGGACUCGAUCGAGGACCUACUUUACGUAAUUAUUGAAUGAAGAACAUAUCCACUACUUAACUUACUUGCCGUAAGUGCAUACCAAGAAUUCGUAUCACACUCUCCAAUCUUCUCAAAUGUCUCUGAAAAUAACUUUGAAAGAUGUAUUUAACAAGCUCUAAUUCAGUUGAAUUUCAUUUUUGCCGGUCAGGAAUUUAUUUCGAUCGUCAUUUAAAGAAAGAUUCACUAGAAUCAAAGGGGUGUUUGUUGUGAAUUUUAUAGCAAGAAAUCUUGGGGGAACAAAAGGUGAAUUACAUUUCCGGUGGUUGAAUAUAUAUAUGGGGUCAUUAGCAAUAAGCCCCUCAUUUAGAUAAGAAAUAGUGAUAUGUUCAUACCAUAAUUCUUUCUUUGUGAUAACCCCUAGAAAUUUUAUUCCCAAUAUUAACCUUUCAAUAAUUACCAUGCUUUGCAACAAUUACCCAUGAUUUUCGAAAUCCCUAACAAUAUGGGUGCAUAAAUCCCAAUUAAUUAGCAUUAAUAUCUACUUUCCCUAAAAAAACUGCUUCCAAAUUAAAAAAUAAAUAAAUCAAAUCACAGAAAAUUUGCUCAAGAAGACGCACAUAAAUGAAAACUCCCCAAAAUCGAAAACUCCUCGAAAUCGAAAACUCCCUCGCUCGAAACUGCAAUCGCAUACCAAAAAUCGAACACAUUUGGUGCAGCAUCAUCCAUCCCUCGCCCAUUACUAGUCAUACACUGUUAGGAUUUGAGUUGAAGUAGUCACAUUCAAAUCUAUAUCAUGCAAAUUGAAGAAGAAAGUAUCAUCGAAACGCAAACGAGUUUUUUGUUUGUUUGGAUUAGAGUUGAAGUAGUCACAUUCACUUUUUUUUUUUAUGCAUUAAAAAGCAUACUUGAAUGUUUAUUAAUUCUUAUGCUAUUAGUAUUGAUAUUUUAUUAUUAUUGACAAAAAAUAUGAUUUACAAUGUAUAAAUAUGACUGUAUUCUGCCAACUAGCUUUCCCCACAUUAAAACAUGAUUAUUAACAUAACAGUGAAAAUAUGACUAUAGUGUGACUAUGCUUUGUAUAACAGUAUAAUUGACAUAGUGAGAAUUAACAGACAUUAGCAGCAUGAUUAUGAACAGAACAGUAAGAAUAUGACUAUUAUGUGACUAUGUUCUGUGAUAUUGAGCAAAGUAAAGGGGGAAAAAUGGAAUUUACCGAAAAUUAAAUUACAGAAUACACGUGUUAAAUAGCAAAAAAAAAAUGAUUGGUGGCUAAAUGACUUAUCAACAAGAGAAAAUAUAUGGGCUAGAAAAGAGGUGACCAAAGAACCUGCAAAAGGUGUGAGAAUAUGACUAUUAUGUGACCUAUGCUUUAUGUAACAAUAUAAUUGACGGUGAAAAUUAACAAACAACAGUAGCAUAAUUAUUAACAAAACAGUGAGAAUUUGACUAUUAUGUGACUACUCUGUAAAUCGAGAUAAAAUGAAAUCAGAUACAACUCGGACGACACAAACCCAUACAUUUUGCUCUGAACAAAACAAACGCUCGUAAAUUGCGAACCAAAUAUUAUAAUCCAUAGACUAAAUUAAGAAAAAAAAAAGAAAAAAAAAAUAAUUCCAAACAAUCUCUGAUCUUUUCCAUGCAACUUUUCUUCAACACUAAGCACAGAGCGCUACAAAGACGACGACCAUGAACCUCGAUCUAGCCCAAAAAUACUUGCGUAUAUCUAUCAACACGCCUACAGAUUCACGCAGAGAAAAUCUCGUACAACUACAAACAAGGAAACAAUUAUGGGAAAAUAUUAGAAAUAUAUAUUUGAUUUAUUUUAAAAACUGCUGUUAAGGGUAAUUAUGUCUUAUCCCAUCUUAAAAAGGGGGUCUCACUAAUUAAAAUUGGGUGUAGACAAAAGUCUUAAAAGUCAAAUGGGUUUUUCUCAUAAUAUUUUUCAUUUGAGGGGGUAUUGCAUAUUUCCCAUAUAUAUAUUGGGUAAUUGUCUAUAGACCCUCUAUUAUUAGAUUUUAUUGGUUAAAAUCCAAGUUAUAAAUCCAAUAUUGCUAUAACCCCCUACUAAUUUUAUGGCUGAUUUGCCCUUUAGCAAAAAUAGGAAAAUUCUAGUCUUAUCUCUAUUUAUUCCUAAAAUUCUCCACCAAAAUCGGUUUUAGCAAAAAUUGUGCUGCAAAACGUCAAUUGCAAAUCCUCCCCAAAUUGCAUUCUGCCAUCAUUAAUCUCUCGAAAAACAAAACUUCUCCCUGCCCCUGUUUCUUCAGUGCAAUCUCUGUAACCCUCGAGAACGAUGGAAUCUCUAUAACUUCUGCAAAUCGCCAACAAACAAAACACAUCCUAGAGAAUAGUGCAAAAUCAAAACGUAUAGGUAAUUUGCUAUUGCGGUUUUUUAAAUGCCUUUAAUGGCGAUUCAUUGACGGAAUGCAAUGAGUUUUUUUUUUUUAUAUCAUCAGUGAAAGAUGCAGAUUUAGAGGUUUUAACCCCAAGUAAUUUUUAUUUUUAUUUUUUGUUUUGACAUUAUUUUUUGUUUGGAUUUUACUGUUCAAGUUACAAUAUUUUGCCGAUUGUUUUGCGUUUUUGUUACAUCUUUUCAGAUCUCGAUUGCGAUUUUUUGUUUUGUCGCCUUUUGUGCUUUUCGGCCCUGGGAGUACUUUGUUGAAUUUGUCUUUUUCCUCCUAAAUUCGUUGAUUGUUUGUUUGGAGUUUCCUGGUUUGUGUUACAUUAUUUUGUGUUAUCAUUUUGAUGUUUUGUUUUUUUCGUUCAUGUUAUUUUCUGGUGUCGACUGCAACAUAUAUUCGAUUUCGUGAUUUUAUUGUUUGCAAGUUGUAUUUUCUAGUGUAGUAUAUUUUGUACUUUGCUGUUUAUUCUGCAUUUUGCAUAUAUGAUGUAAUUUUUGAUAUUGUAUAUUUGGUUUGAACUUUGGUAUAUUCUUAGUCAUCUUCUGAUUUUUAAAUUGCAUUUUAUUGUUUGAAAAUUAUAAUUUGCAUUUGAUGUUACCAAAUGCACCUUGCAUAUUGUUAUGUGCAAUUGAUGUACAUGGGUUAUAGGUACCGACAUGGUUGUGCAAUAAUUUGUUUUUUUUCAAGAACAGUUGAUUUGACGAAGGGGAAGAAGAAAGUAGAUGAAUCAUUCUCCUCUUCAAAAAGAGGAAAGGAACGAUGAAUCAAGUCGAAUCUAUUUGCACGGUAGCACGAAGCUAUAAUAUGUUUUGACGUCGCCUCAACGAAAACCAGAUUUGAUUGAUUGUAGGAUUUUUGUCUUGUAUAUUGCAAGGCAGUUGUGUAUGCAACAACCAUUAGUGAGAAACAUUGCAGCAAAUGGGAUUAUCGAACUCGAAAAACUUUUAAUUAUCAGUUCUUGAACGACGAGGAUACUGUUGAAUUUAAUUAGAAUUUGUUUAUGACAUUUACUUAUGUUUAGCAGGACAUUGUUUUUUAUUUGUAACAUUAUAUUUUUGUUGGAUUUUGAUAUGAACUAUUUUCUAAUAUAUUCCAAAUUCAUGCAGUUAUUUUGUGUAUUGGUAUAUGCUUGCCAAUUUAUAAUUUCUUAUAAAUUCAGUAAAUUGUUAAAAAAACAGGCAAAGUGUCACAGGGCUUUAGUCGACUUUUGUUAUGCUAGACACUGUUGCAAUAAAAUUGUCACAGGGCUUUAGUCUUCAUUCUGCUGUUAUAGUUUGCAUUUUGCUAUUGUAAUUUAUAUGCAAGCUGCAAAAAGAAGAGGCAAAGUUCAAAUCAUACAAUACCAACUGCAAAAACAAAUAUAUGGCAUCAAAAGUGUAGAUAAUAUUAUACCAAAAACUUACAUCAUAUAUAACAACAACAUAUACAAAUAUAUUCGAGCAACAAACACAUCGUAUAUGCAAACUGCAAACAUAAAAAUCAAAAGUGCAAACAAUACCAUGCCAAACAACUCAAAAAAAAUAUAUAACAUCAUAGUGUAAAAUAUAAUCUGCUAGAAAGAGCAAAACGCAAAACAAAAAUCCACCAACAUCGAAAAAUGUGCAAAUCGACAUAAAAAAUGAAAAAAAACUUGAUGUUUGUUGUUCGAUAUGGGCAUUAUAAAAUGAUGUUUUGUUGUUUGAUGUUUGAAUCAUGAAUGAAUGUUUAAAGUUUGAUAUUUACAGAACAGAGAUUACCAGUAACAAUCAAGUAUGCAAAAAACAACUUAAAAUAAUAAAUAAAAGCAGCAAAAGUGUAAAAAUAUAUUCGAGCAAAAAACACAUUACAUACGUAAACUGCAAGAAUAAAAAUCAAAGUGCAAAUAGUACCAUAUACUAACAACAACAAAAUAAAUAGAUUACAACAAAGUGUAAACAAAUAGCAAACAACAAACACAAUUUCCGUCUCAAGAUAAUCAGAUUUAGUCGAUGUCCUUGAGCCUCUAGAUACGGAACUGCUCUGGCGAUGAAAGAAGGAAUGGAUUUAGCGGCGAAGAAUGAGCGAGCCAUUUUGUACUCGUUUUGGUUUACACAAAGAAAAGAAAACUAAAUGAAAUAUUCUCCUGAUGAGCAAAUAAAGAGAAAAUAUGUGAAUCGGUCUCAAUCACAUUCUCUAUGGUCAUCUUCUCCUUCAAUCUUACACCAUCAACCCUAAAAAAAUCACAAAUUUUAAUUUAAUGCCUGCCAACUGAAUCAAAAGCCUGAAUUCAAAUUUCAAUCUCGAAAUCUAAAUCAGAGUUUUUGCGAAACAGAAUAAGAGUGUUGUCAAAGAUGAAUCAACCACGUUUCAUAAACUCCCUUUCAGGAUGAGUUGUUUUUUCCAACCACGUUCAUAAUUCCCUUCCAAAUCUUAUGACGUGAUUUAUGGGAUUUAUUCUCACAAUUUACGUAAUUAAAGACUUCCAUAAAUAAAUAAUUUAUUGUUCAAGGGUGUUUAUGUCCAUAUGCAUAUUGAUUUUAUUCCAUUUAAUUGAUUUUUUUAGUCAAAGGGCCUAUAGCUAUAUUAAUCUAAUAGAUUGGAUUCCAACCUAUAUAAGUUUGAAAUAAGAGGGUAUAGCUAAUUAUAUAUAUAUAGAUAUAUAUAUAUAUAUAUAUAUAUAUAUAUAUAUAUAUAUAUAUAUAUAUAUAUAUGUGUGUGUGUGUGUGUGUAUGUGUGUGUGUGUGUUAUAGAGAUUUGUGUGUGUGUAUUUAAUAUAAUAUAUAUGGGCAAAUUACGGCCACCCCUGUGUUAUAGUCAAAUUACGAAAAAACCCCUCCUGUUUGGGUAAUUAUAGCCACCCUCUUUUUAAAUAUUUUGACAUAAAAUUUAUGUAACUCGGUUAUUUACCAAACAAAAUUGUAUAUUCAAUUCGGUAAACGAUAUGAAAUGUUGGCGUACCAAAAUUUCGGUUCGGUUUAACCGAUUUAACAUCCCUAAAUUAACCUAUGGAUGAGUAUUUUCGUAAGAUAAUACAUAGUUGAGGGGGUGGCUAUAAUUAUCCAAACAUAAGGGGGGUUUUCGUAAUUUGACCAUAAAACAUGGAUUUCCUUCCUUUAAGGGUUAAUAUGCUAGAGGUGCCUAGUUGGAAACAUAAUUAGAUAUGGGAUAGAACCCUAAUAUUUUUUUCUUAACUAAAUCAUUUUUACAAAAAUAAAUAUGACCCACAUCCUUUACUUUUUUUAUUACAAAUUUUCCCUCAACCUAAAUCCAUAAAUUCUACACGUUUUUCCCAGAUCUAAUUUUCUUAUUUUCUUCCCUCUUCUCUCUCGUUCUCCCUCUCUCGUUCACCUUCUUUCUGUCGUCUCUCUUUCUCUCGCUCUCCCUCUCCAUCAGUUCUCACGCGAUGGCUAUGGCGCAACUAUGGCGGUGGAGGCGGCAUUAAUAAGGGGAUGGAGGCAGAAGGCCACAACGACUAUGGUGGUGGAGGUCAGAUCUACGGCGGAUGGUGACGGCUAUGGCGGCUAGGUUUUAAUUUGGUCGACGGCUAGGGUUUAAUUUGCUCGACGACUAUGACGGCUAGGGUUUAAUUUGGUCGAUAGCUAAGGUUUAAUUUGAUCAGAUCUACGGUGGAUGGUGGCUAGGUUUUAAUUUGGUCGACGGCUAUGGCGGCUAGGGUUUAAUUUGGGUCAGAUCUAUGGUGGAUGGUGGCUAGGUUUUAAUUUGGUCGACGGCUAGGGUUUAAUUUGGUUGACGGCUACGGCAGCUAGGGUUUAAUUUGGUCGAUAGCUAGGGUUUAAUUUGAUCGGCGGCUAGGGUUGGUGGACGACUAGGUUUUUGCAGGUAGGGUUUGGCGGCGGCUGAAAUUUGUUGGUUGCUAUGAUUUAACGGUGGCUGGAAGAUGUUGGAAGUUAGGGUUUGGCGGCGGCUGAGAGUUGGUGAAUGAUAGAGUUCGGAAUAGUACACCACAGUAUACCGUAGUAUACCAUAGCGUACCAUAGCAUAUCAUAGUAUCUUUUCAAAUUUGGUGUAUUAUUUGACAAAAACGAAACUACGGGUGUUUGCAGAUGACUACGACCGGAAAAAAAUUAAAAAAAAAAUCAUAAUUUUCAAUAUUAUGUGGAAAAAAGAUAAGAAAAAAAUAGAUUCUUAUAGUAAUGAGAAAAAACAAAAAGAGAAACGUAUUCCACGUAAAAAAUAAAAUAACAAAAAUGCUAGAUGCAAAUUAAAAAUGUUAAAUAAUACCUUAGUACACCAUUGUACAUCAUAGAAUAUUUACAAUCCGAUGUAAUUUCGAAUUUGUGAAUGGAGGGGCAUUUUUUUAAUGAAUUUUGAUAAAGGAUGUGAAGCAAAUUUUAAUUAGGCUUGUCAUUUAAUUCUAAUAAGAUUUGUUACCAGGGACUUAUAUCUUAAGACCCAUUUUCUGUAAAGAAGAUACAAAACUGUAAUUCCAAAUAACCCGUCAUCAACAAGCUAAUGGUAUCAGGGAUGAUUUGCUAAAUAUAUUUAAGAAAAUUAUAAAAAAUAUAUAUACUAUAGAGUAUAGAGACGAAGGGGAUUAAGAGAUUCAAUUAAGAUAACCAAGAAAACUUCACAGGUUAUAAAUUAAUGCAAGUAAUUGAAAAGGAAAAUAUCUUCAAAACGAAAUAUGAAUAAGUUUGUACUUUGAGGAUUUCAUGUUUCUACCCUUACAUUUAGGGUAAACAACAUAAAACUCCAUGUGUUAAGGAAAACAUGCGCCAAAUCCCCUUAUGUUCUUUUUACUGCAUAAAACCACAUGUGUUUCAUUUUUCCUUGCAGGAAAUCAUCAUUUUCUUUAAUAUUUAACACCGUUAACAAUAAAUGGUAUUUUAUGCAAGCGUUUAGUAACAGAGGGGGGUUUUCUGCAUAUUUUCUACAAUACAAUAGGAAUUUAUGCAAAAAAAAAAUAUUUAUUCGUUUAGAAAUCAUUAUUUUCUUAAUUUAAGUCGAACCCAUUUAUUCAGUUAUAAUAUAAAAAAAACUGAAAAAUUAAUGGGUGUGGUGAUUCUUUUUUUAAUGUUUUUUUUUCAUAUAAUUUAAUUUGUUAAUUAAUUUAAAACAAUUGAUUUUAAAAAAUAUAUAUAUUUAUAUUAUCAGAAUCAUUAUAUAUUUAAAUAAUGUAUUAUGGGUUAGUUAUAUAUAAAAAGAAAAUAAAUGAUUUGAGAAUUCGUUCCAACUUCCAUCUCGACUAUUAUUUUUUUUAUUUUCAUAUUGUAAAUUAAUUGAUGUAUUCGACUUCAUUUAAGAAAAUAUAUAUUUUUUUAAAUUUAAAUAAAUAAAUUAAAUUUUCAUAAACCCCCCUUGUGUUGAAAAACCAUGUACCAAAUCCCUCUGUAUUACAAAAAACUUGCAUAAAAUCCCCUCUAUAGUUAACCAUUAACAGAAAUGAGGAUUUUAUGCAAGGAAAAAUAGAACACAUGGGGGUUUUACGCAAUAAAACGUUACGUGCGAGCAUGUGAUCACGGACUUCUACCCCCUGUCUUACCUAUAUUUUUUAUUUGGCCCCAAUUUAACUUUAUUAUUAUAAAUUCGUCCAAAAAAAAAAAUCAAAUCCCCAAAAAAUUAUUUCGAAUGUUCCAACCCCGCCCCGUCUGCCAUUUUUUACCUCCGCCGACCCAUCAACUGUACAUUUGUGUCACUUUUUUUUUUAAUUGAAAUGAUUUAUAAUUGUUUUUUUUUUUUUUGCAUUUUUUAUAUAAAAUUGAAAUACUCUUAAAAAUUUGUUAAUGAAUAAUAAAAAUACCAAAAAAAAAUUUAUAAGAUUAGGCAAAAUCGAUUUUAUUGUAUAGGGUAAAUAGCACUUAACCCCCCAUGUGGUUACAAGUUUUUACAGACGACCCCAUUGUGCUUGUAAUAUCAGCACUUAAGCCCCUUCUGGUUGAUGCGGUAGCUUCCGUUAGUUUUCCGUUAAACUUAACCGCAUGUGUCAAAAGUCAAAGUAUUUUUUUUUUUUCAGAUGAUCCCCUUGUGAUUUCAUUUUUGCAGGUAACCCCUUUGAAGUAUGACACACGCAGUUAAGUUUGACGGAAAAACUAACGGAAGCAACCCCAUAAACUACAAGGGGGUUAUCUGCUGAUAUUACGAGCACAAGGGGGUCAUCUGCAAAAAGUUGUGACCACAAGGGGGUUAAGUGUUGUUUAUCCUAUAAACAACUAAAAUCAAUAUUUCUGAAAUUACAAAAUAUGUUUAAUUAUAUUUUAUAUAUUAAUAAUGAAAUAAAUUAUAUUUAUAAAAUUAAAAAAGGAAUCUAAUUAACUUUGGUAUAAUCAAAUUAGUUACAAUGUUUUCGAUUAAAAAAAUUAAAAUAAAGAAAUAAAUAAUAUUUGUGAAUAAAAUAUAAUAUACUAAUUCCUAAAACACUCCUAUGUUAUGUUUUGUCAUUUUAUAUUUUUAGUACAUUUCUCGAAUUUAAUUUUAUUUGGACGAAAAUGUAAGAAUAAAGUGAUAUUGGGGUUAAAUUAAUAAUAUAGUUAAAAAGAAGGGGUUUAUCUGCAUUGUCACGUGCCUCGCACGUUACUUUUCCGUCCAAACUAACACCAAUUUCAAACGGUGGACGAAAAUUGUAGAAAAAACUGGUUAUUUGAGGAUCAAUUUCGUGCAAACAAAAGUUUAAGGACCAAAAUUAAAAAUGGUGUAUAAUAUAGGGACCAAAACUAUAAUUAUCCCUUUGUUUGUGAAAAAGUAUGCUAAUUUUGAAAAAAGAUAAAAUCCUAAACGAUAUAGUCUCUAAUAUAUGGUAUUCUAUUUGUGUCAAUAAUGUUAAAGCAUUUUCAUGGGCUUCAACUAGAAGUAAGUUAUUUUCAUAGGUUUCAACUAAAAGUAUAUAUAAAAUAGGCUAAGACGCUAAGUAAUAUAAAUUAGGUGGAACAAGUAGAUUAAUUCAUAUAGAUAAUUGCAGCGUACUGCACGUUACAAAUGCUAAAAAGCGAAAAGGACAACUCAUCAUCAUUUUUCGACUACAUUACAGGUUGAAGCGUUUCUAGUCGGAGUUAAACGAAAUUCAUUUUGUCGUAAAAAUGUCUCUCAUAGCUGCAAUAUUCAUGUGCUCUAUGAUGCUUAAUGCGAAUAUCAACGCGCAAUCGACUAAUUCUAAACAACCGCUCCCACCAUUCUCUUGUGACUCAAUCACUAAUCCAUCUACAAAGUCGUAUCCAUUCUGCAACGUCGAUUUGCCGAUCGGAAAACGGGCCCACGAUUUGGUCUCGCGUCUCACAUUGAACGAAAAAAUCUCCCAGCUCGUUAAUAAGGCAUCGGCAAUCCCAAGGCUAGGCAUACCCUACUACCAAUGGUGGUCGGAGGCUCUGCAUGGAGUCGCCGGUACCUUGGGUGUAGAUACCGGCUUCUUUUUUAACGGGACUAUCCGCGCGGCGACUAGUUUUCCUCAAGUUAUACUCACCGCCGCCACCUUUGAUGCCCAUCUUUGGUAUCGAAUAGCCAAGGUAAAUUAUAUUGAAUGACCAUCUCAACUAAAAGUUUAAACUAUUAGUGAAAUGUAUCGUUUAAUAUUAAUAUCUUCAAUACGCCCCCUAAAGUACAGGAUUUGGCAUGGCUCUGAUAGCCUCUUGAAUGACCAUCUCAACCAAAAGUUUAAGCUAUAAGUGAAAUGUAUCAUUUAAUAUUAAUAUCUCCAAUACGCCCCCUCAAGUGCAGAAUUUGGCAUGGCUCUGAUAGCAUGCUGAAUGACCAUCUCAACCAAAAACUUAAGCUAUCAGUCAAAUGUAUCAUUUAAUAUUAAUAUCUCCAAUAAAUUAGUCAAGAAAUAAAGUAAAGUUAUUGUGAUAUCGGAUUAUCGCGAUUUUAAGCAUAUGCAUAAUACUAAAAUCAAUUGUGCUAGUAUCUAACACGUAUAUGUAUGAGUAUGCAUUUAAAGGUGAUCGGGACGGAGGGUCGAGCAAUAUACAAUGAAGGGGAGGCGACGGGCAUGACGUUUUGGUCACCCAACAUUAAUAUUUUCCGAGAUCCGAGGUGGGGAAGGGGGCAAGAGACACCUGGCGAAGACCCUUUCAUGACAAGUAAAUAUGGCGUCUCGUUUGUUCGAGGCAUUCAAGGUGACAGCUUCGAAGGCGGUGACCUCAAAGACGGCCGUCUUCUAGCCUCCGCGUGCUGUAAACAUCUCACUGCCUAUGAUUUGGAGAGUUGGAACGGAAAUAGUCGUUUUACGUUCGACGCUCAUGUAUGUAUCUCUUUCAUCACUAUAUAUUCAAUAUAUAUAUAUAUAUAUAUAUAUAUAUAUAUAUAUAUAUAUAUAUAUAUAUAUAUUGCAGAGAAAUGUGAGAAUUAAUUAAGUGCAUUUCUAAGGGAAAAAAUAUUUACUUUGUCCUUUUUCGGUUUAAUUAGCGAAAUCCCAUGAACUAAGGUUAAAUUAAUAGAAAAAAAAAAAUUUGAAUUUUGUCAAUUUCUAUCCAAAUUUGAACAAUUUUUUUAAUUCUAGUUUAAAAAAAUUUCAUAUCGAUUUGGGCGGAUUUUUUCAGAACCAAAUUAGAAUUAGUUAUCCACUCCCGAAAAAAUAAUGUUUUUUCAAAGUGUUAAUUAUACCCCUAACUAGGGGUGGUAAACGAGCCGAGCCGGCUCGCGAACUUGACGAGCCGGCUCGACAAAGGCUCGAACUCGAGCUCAGGUUUUUCGAGCUCGAGCUCGAGCUCACAAGUUCGAGCUUUGGACGAGCUCGAGCUCGAGCCCAAAUAUAGUUGUUCGCCAGCUCGCGAGCUGGUGUUUUUUUUUUUUUUUUUUUUUUAAUGUUUUAUAUAUUAUAUAUUAUUAUUAUUAUUAUUAUUAUUAUUAUUAUUAUUAUUAUUAUUAUUAUUAUUAUUAUUAUUAUUAUUAUUAUUAUUAUUAUUAUUAUUAUUAUUAUUAUUAUUAUUAUUAUUAUUAAUAUAAAAUAUUAUAAUAAUAAUAUAAAAAUAACAUUAAAAAUUUAAAAAUAUAUAUAACUACAGUUUUUUAUUUAUUUUAUAAUUUUUUUUCAUUAUACUAUAAAUAUUUUUUAAUAAAAAAUUAAUAAUAAAAAAAAAAGUAAAAAACAUAAAAAAAUAAAAACAUAAUGAGCUCGAGCUCGUCAAAAUUGGCUCGAGCUUGAGCUCGAGCACGAGCUCGAGCUCGGCAUAAUGGACUCGAGCUCGAGCUCGAGCCUGCCAAAACAGCCGACCUCGGCUCGUUCACACCCCUACCCCUAACAUUGUUAAUUUCAAUAUUUUUUUUCUUUUUUCUUAUUCUGCAUUUUAUUUAUUAAAAAAAAUAUCAGGGUCAGUUUAGUCAAUUCAUGUAAGUCAACAGCCAAUUUCGAAAAAAGGGCUGUGUGCUUUGUCAAACAAAACAUAUGAGAGUCUUUGCUAAAUUUUUUAACACAGAUUUUUUCGGCAAUUCGAAAUUACGUAAUGUUUUUAAUUAACUCUUAGGGUGUUUCUCAUAAACUACUUUCUUUUUUUUGUUAAAGGUUACAAAGCAGGAUAUGGCAGAUACAUAUCAGCCACCUUUCAAAAGCUGUGUAGAACAAGGCCGAGCGAGCGGGAUUAUGUGUGCUUAUAAUCUCGUAAAUGGUGUUCCCAAUUGUGCUGAUUACGAUUUACUAACGAAAACAGCUCGUCGCGAAUGGGGAUUCCAAGGGUAUCUUCUUUAAUAACUUGAAAAAUCACUUUCCUUCUUGUACAUCUAAUGUCUCUAACAUCACCGUAAACGAACAGGUACAUAACAUCUGAUUGUGGUGCAGUCUCUCUUCUCUAUGGUACGCAAAAUUAUUCGAAAUCACACGAAGAUGCUGUAGCAGAUGUGCUUAAAGCAGGUAACAUGUGCCCUUUUUCAUUUUUUUUAAAAGAAUUAUUUGUACUCAUGGUUCUUAAAUCGUAAAUCGAAUUGAAAUCGAUUUGUAAAAAAAUCAAAUCGUAAGUCCAAUCGAAUCGUAAAUCGUAAGAUUGUAUUCUUUCAAAAAUAAUAUAGAUAAUAAUUAUAUAUAAAUAUUUUAAAGAAAUUAUAUAAUGUUAUAAGAAAUGUAUAUGUCGUUUAAAAUUUAUAAAGUCAAACUAUAACAGUUGUAUCUUGAAGAAUAUAAAGAAUUGAUUGAAUUAAAUAUAAAUAAAUAAAUGACGUAAUACAAGCUCACUUAUGCUAUUAAAAUCGGUGACGUGUGAGAAAUUCAAGUAAAAAUACAAAUGUCUCUUGAGAACUAAUUAAAAUAAAUAAUAUUUAUUUAUAGAAAACUGAAUUAAACUCAUUCCAACUUAUUUUCAUACUGUAUAGUGCAACAAUAGACGAGGAAUAGAAGUAAAAGUAAUACUAUAUGGUAUUUUCUUUUUAAAUAUACUUGAUUUAAUAGUAUUUUAUGGGAUAAAGUGUUGACAAUAACGUAAUAAUCACAUUAAAUAUUUCUAUAUAUAAAGUCUAAUGUAUUUUUAAUUAAAAUUAUUAUAAAUAUUAAUAUAAUAAAUUAAAAUUUUCUUAAAUGUAAAAAUCGUAAAUCGUAAGAUUUCAUCGGUUUUUUGACAUUUAAGAUUUAAAUCGAUUUAGGUAUGAAUCCAAUCGAAUCGUAACAUUUGAAUCGUAAAUCGUAAGAUUUUAAUAACCAUGUCUAUACGUAUAGCAUUGAUCAACAUGAUAAUAGCUCAACCUAAUAUAGAACAAAAUUUUAAUGACAGUUUCUAUCAAAUUGGAAAAAAAGUAAAAUAAAUUAUAAAUACAGGUUUGGAUGUUGAAUGCGGCAACUAUUUGACGAAUCACACGAAAUCAGCAAUCGAAAAAGGGAAAGUGUCGGAGCAUGAUAUAGACAGAGCCCUUCGUAACCUCUUCACUAUUAGGAUGAGAUUAGGACUUUUCAAUGGAAAUCCAAGUGAACAUGUAUACGGCAAUCUUAGCCGUAACGACGUAUGUAGUCCCGAGCAUCAAGAUUUAGCCCUUGAAGUUGCACGCGAUGGCAUCGUCCUUUUAAAGAACUCCGCAAAUCUACUUCCACUAUCUAAGUCCAAAACAAAGUCCCUUGCCGUAAUAGGCCCCAAUUCCAAUGUAUCGGAAACACUCUUAGGAAGCUACGCGGGCCCCCCGUGCAAGACAAUUACUCCACUACAAGGACUAAUGAAUUAUGUCAAGAAAACCGAAUUCCAUAAGGGUUGCGAAACCGUUAAUUGCACCUCAAUUGCCUCCAGAGAAGCGACGAGAAUUGCCAGAUCAGCAGAUUAUGUUGUACUCGUAAUGGGAAUCAAUCAAGAUUUUGAGCGCGAAGAUUUGGAUCGAGAAGACUUGGUACUUCCAGGUCAGCAACAGAGUCUUAUCAGGAGUGUUGCAAACGCAGCUAAAAAUCCGGUUAUAUUGGUAUUGCUCUGUGGAGGCCCCGUUGAUAUUUCGUUUGCGAAAAAUAACCCCAAGAUUGGAGGUAUUUUGUGGGCUGGAUAUCCCGGUGAAGCUGGGGGGAAAGCAAUUGCAGAGAUCAUAUUUGGUGACCACAAUCCAGGUACAUUUCCUCAACUUUUUUUUUUUUCCUUCUUUUCUUCACGAGUCAAAGGUUUAAAAAUAUACUAGGAUUAAUUAAUAUUGAAAUUUAUAUUAGUCGAUAAAUUAAUAACCUCGGUUAAAUAAUAAUUUUUCCUGGUCCCGACUCGGUAAAAACCUUCUAAACUAUUAGUUCGAUAAUUUAAUAAUUCGCUAAAUUAAUAGAAUUUUGGCAGUUCUGAUUGUAUUAAUUUAUAGAUGUUUGUUUAAUUGUAUGCUUGUUUUUCCAGGAGGAAGGUUGCCUGUAACUUGGUAUCCGAAAGAUUUCAUCAAAAUACCAAUGACUGAUAUGAGAAUGAGGCCCGAUCGCGCAUCUGGCUAUCCGGGACGAACUUAUAGAUUUUACCAAGGCGAAAAAGUUUAUGAAUUUGGCUAUGGUCUUAGCUACUCAAACUAUUCUUACAAAUUUGUUUCUGUCGGCCAAAGCAAGCUCGACUUCAAGCCAGAAAACUCGGGAGAUGUUUCAGUUUCGGAUAUCGGGUUCGAAACAUGUGAGAAGUCAAAGUUUUCGGUUGUUGUUAGUGUUGAAAAUGAAGGGGAGAUGGCCGGUAAGAACUCGGUUCUGCUAUUCCUAAAGCGUGACGAACCUCUUAAGGAUAGUCCCACGAAACAGUUGGUCGGAUUUCAGACAGUGAGAUUGAAUGCAAAUGAGAAGGCUAAUGUUGAAUUUGAAAUAAAUCCAUGUCAGCACUUUGCAAGAGCUAGUGAAGAUGGAAAGAUGGUGAUUGAAUCAGGGACUCAUCAUUUUAUCGUAGGAGAUCAGAAAGAGUAUCCUAUCAGCAUUAAUUAGUUAAUAUUUUCACUAAAAAAUGUCAUUUGGUUUGAAUUAUUCACUCAAGUGAUUUGGAAUAAAUAUGUUCGGGCAAAUUAAUGUUUCAAUUCUCUUAAUAUGCAUAAAUUUUACCUUAAAUUUCUGAACUUGUGUGACAAAUACUAUAAUUUGAUUCACAUAGAAACUCGAAUAACGUUGGAAUUGUUUUUUUUUUCUUAGUGUAGUGAUUUUUUGCAACUCAGGAACUUGGUUAACACGAAGUUCCAUGGCUCUUAGAAUCACUUUAGUUCGUGAUUUAAUAUAAUAAUAUAAUAUAAUAAAUAAGAGAUAUUACACGAAGUAACUAAGAGAUAUAUAAUAUAAUAAUGAAUAAUAAUAAUAAUAAUAUAUACGCUAAUACACCGCCGCAGUCGAAACGGGAAAACGGGAAAGGAGAGGACGUGGAGAUUGGAGACAAAUUGUUGAAACAGUUGAGUAGGGAGUCCUUUCGUGAAGAUAUCGGCGAAUUGGUAGGCGGAUGGGACGUGAAGAACACGAACGUGUCCCAAAGCAACUUUGUCUCGGACAAAGUGGACGUCAAUCUCCACAUGUUUCGUACGAGAGUGUUGAAUAUGAUUGCUGGAUAGGUAGACGGCACUGACGUUGUCACAGUAGACAAUGGUGGCUUUUGAAAGUGGGUAGAGCAACUCAAAAAGUAGGUUGCGUAACCAAGUCGUUUCGCCGACGGCGUUUGCGACAGCUCGAUAUUCUGCCUCCGCACUAGAUCGAGAAGUAGUGACCUGUCGUUUGGAGGACCAAGAAAUGAGGUUGUUGCCGAGGAAAACACAAUAGCCCAGGACAGCCACCCCAAUCAGCGUGGGAGUAAGCGAUAAGAGAGAGGUCCGGAUUGGGGGAGAGGAGAAGGUCGUGGUCGAGAGUGCCACGAAUAUAGCCAAAGAUUCGCUUGAGAGCAGCCAUAUGAGGUUCCUCGGAUCAUGCAUGAAUAAAAAUAUUUGUUGCACAUCAUAGGAAAUGUCGGGACGAGUAAAGGUGAGGUAUUGCAGUGCACCGGCAAGGCUGCGAUAGAUUGUAGGGUCAGCAAUGGGGGGUCAAGUGGUCGAAGCUAACUUGCUCUUUGUGUCAGCCGGCGUAAGACAAGGGUUGCAGGAAGCCAUUUGUGCACGCUCCAAUAUCUCGUCGACGUACUUGCGUUGAGAGAGAAAUAGCCCAUUCGCGAGCGAGUGACUGAGAUGCCGAGAAAGUAGUGAGGAUCUCCAAGAUCCUUCAUUGCGAACUCCGGAUUAAGGGCCGUAAGUACAAUGUCAUCAACAUACAGUAGAAGGUAGGCGCAUGAACUUUUGCGAUAGUGCGUGAACUGCUGCGACAGUCGCGUGAACUGUUGCGACAGUACACAAAGAGUGAAAUGUCGGCCUUGCAUUCUUUGAACCCCAUGUGGUAAUGUGAGAGGCGAAACGCUUAUACCAAGCACGGGGUGCCUGCUUGAGACCGUAGAGGGCUUUGUUGAGACGACACACGUGAGUGGGGCGAGAUGGAUCGACGAAUUCGGAAGGUUGCUCGUAGUAGACAGUUUCAGAGAGAUUGCCAUGUAAGAAGGCAAUUUUCACAUCAAGUUGGUGGAUUGGCCAUAAUCGUGCGAUAGCAAUACUGAGAACUGUUCGAACAGUGGCUGGUUUGAAAACUGGGCUAAUAAAAGUCUCGUCAAAGUCGAUGCCAGCCUGCUGGUGAAAACCGCGAGUAACUCACCGUAUUUUGUAUCGCUCAAGGGAGCCAUCAGACUUGAGUUUCUGUUUGUAUAUCCACUUACCAGAAAUAACAUUAGUGAACUGGGGGCGGGGCACAACAUUCCAAGUAUUUUUUUUAAUUAAAGCAGUAUAUUCCUCAAUCAUGGCGUUUCGCCAAUUUUAGUCAAAAAUAGCUUGGCGAUAGUUGGUGCGAAUGGAAGAGGUAGAGGACCCAACUAUAGAGAAAGGGACUUUGGGUUUGUGGAUGCCCGCUUUACUGCGAGUCACCAUAGGGUGAGCAUGUGGAGGUGGGGGAAGUGUGGGAGUAUGAGAAGGAGAUGUGGGAGUAGAAGAAGGGGUUGUGAGCUGGUCGUGGUCGAGAGAUGGUGCCGCAGAUGAAACAGGUGUCGGCUGUGUUGUAGGACUGUUGGACGAACUGUUGGAACAGGGUGGUUCACUGGUGGAACAGUUGGAUGAACUGUUGCAACGGUUAGACGAAGUCUGAGGGAGGAGGAACAUGGAGGGUGUGUUUUCGUCCAAGGCAGAGGUAGGGAGUGUUUUUGUGGGGGGAGUUGACUCAGCAAAAGGAAAGUGAGUUUCGUCGAAGGUAACAUGACGAGAAAUUAUGAUUCGGCCAGUGGAUCUAUCAAGGCAACGAUAGCCUUUGUGAGAAGAAGGGUGACCAAGAUAGACACAAGGAGUAGAACGAGAGGCGAGUUUAUGUGUGGUGGCGGUGAGGUUGGGAUAACAGAGACAGCCGAAUACUCGAAGAUGAGAGUAAGUAGGUUUGGUGAGGUAAAGAGCUUCGUGAGGGGUCCGGUUUUGUGUGGUUUUGGUAGGUAAAAUAUUGAGUAGAUGGGUGGCCAUAUGAAGGGCUUCGACCCAAUAAGUAGGAGAAAAAUGAGCUUGAAAGAUGAGGGAUCGAAUCAUGUUGGUUAUAGUGCGGAUCAUUCGUUCUGCGUGUCCGUUUUGAGGGGAAGUAUGGGGACACGAAAAACGAUUUAGGAUGCCGUGUUUAGUAAAGUAGUUUUGAAAAUCCGCAUUUUUUAAUUCACGACCAUUAUCACUUUGUAAGGCUUUGAGGGGAUGUUGGAAUUGAGUUUUUAGAAGUGUAUGAAAAUUGACAAAGGUUGUAAAAAUGUCAUAUUUAUUUCGAAGAGGAAAAGUCCAUAAAUAAUGGGUAAAAUCAUCAACUAACACAAGAUAGUAUUUGAAACCCGUAAGACUAGACAUAUGAGAAGUCCAUAAAUCAGCAUGAAUAAUUUGAAAUUGAACAACAAUAGUAGAGUUUUGAGAAAAAAAUGGUAGACAAAAAUGUUUGCCUAAUUGACAGGCAUUACAAAGAGACUCCCUAGGGUCUUUAUUAUUUGAAAGAAAAGUGCUAGAAAAUAAACGGGACAUGACGUGUUUGCCCCGAUGGCCUAGACGCCGAUGCCAAAGAGUUUGAGACGAAGGUGUUGAGACAGUGAGGAAAGCCGCGGGAGGUGAGGUGGGAGAAGAGAUGCCAAAUGGAUAUAGGUCACCGGAGCUAUUGCACCUGAAAAUCUAGACUCGACUCCGAAGAUCCUUUACAGAAAAACCAAACGGGUCAAAUUCAACCGCGCAUGAGUUAUCGCGGGUGAACUUUCUAACAGAGAUAAGGUGUUUGAUGAUAUUGGGUGUGACAUAGACAUUUGUGAGGUGGAAAAGAGUGGUGGGAAGAAUUAUGUGGCCUAUGUGGGUGAUGGGGAGGGUGGAACCAUUACCGACGACAUGAUUGGGAAAAUUACUGCUAGGAUUAAAAACAAAAUUGAAAUUACCUGAGUGUGGUGCCAUAUGAGAGGUCGCCCCGCUGUCCAUGAACCACUGUGACUCGGUAGACUAGUGAAGUGUCACCGUAUCCAAACGAUUUGCAAGAUCCACCACGUUGGCACUGUAGCAUGAACUAUUGCAACAGUUGAUGGAACUGUUAGAGCUGUGCCAUGGCUGCUGUUGGGGAUGAACCUGAGCCGGGGCCGAGUGGCCGGUGUAGUGUUUUGGUGGUCCAGUAAAGUAGGCUUGAGCCGCUGGAGUGGAUGGGUGGUCCGAUGUAUUUGGAGCAGGACUUAGAAUUGACGGGAACGACUGUUGUCGGUAAGGUGCGCGCCAGGGUUGAGAUGCGCUAUGAGCACUAUGGUAGCCGUAGUGGGGCAUGGGGUGACGGUUAGUGUCGCGACCUCCGCGACGGUUGAAUCGGCCACCCCCGCGCUGAUAGUGCGAAGAACCACCUCCAUGGGAACUGUUGUAACUGUUGGAUGGACAUUUCGCGUUGGAGGCGUGGAAAACAACAGCGGUCUGCUCAGGUUCAGCAAGUCUAGUUUCUUCCAUCUGAAGAAGCGAUCGAGUCUGUAGAAAAGUGGGAAGAGGAUUCUGAAGGAGAUGAGAUUGGCAAUGGUCCCGUAAUUUUUCGGAAGGCCCUGUAGGGUUUGUAGGACGAUUUGUUUGUCGGAGAUUGGAUUUCCGAUAUCGGCCAAGCUGUCCGCCGUGAUUUUGAUUAUUUGGCAAUAAUUGUGAAUGGAUAGAGUGCCUUUCUUGAGGGACUUGAAUUUCUCUUCAAGUUGAAUGGCCUGAUAAUCUUUAUUAUCGAUAAAGAGAGAGGAGAUGGCGGUCCAGAGAUCACUGGCGGUGGAUAUUUUAGAGAGAACGAUGCUGGACAAAUCAUCGGAGAUGGUUCCGUAAAUCCAAGAUUGGAGGAGAUAGUCGGCGCGUUGCCAUUCAUCGGCGGAAAUUGAGUCGGGUCGAGGUUUUCCAUGGAGAAGAUCGGAGAGGCAGAAACGAUCGACUGUAAUUCUGAAAAAAUGGCUCACUUUUGAUAGUUGAGAUUUUUCAGAUCUAGGAUGACGGGGAUGAGAGUUAAUAUUGGAGAUGGCAUGAACAAGGUGGAAAGGAUUGAGAGGGGCCGUGGAGGAAGGAGCUUCAUCGCCGGCCAUGGAGAAGGAGAGAGGCGACGACGACUGAGAAAAUAGGGGAAGAUGGUGUUGAUGGCUAGGUUAACCUAGUGUCCGAUACCAUAUAGGAGAAAUAGAGUUGGAGAAAGAGAGAAUUAUGUCUCUUACGUAUAUUAAUCAUAUAUAUAGUUAAAUGUAGGAAAUCCUAACAUAUUACACAAGGUAACUAAGAGAUAAAUAAUAUAAUAAAUAAUAAUAAUAAUAUAUACGCUAAUAAUUUAUAUUUGGUUGAAAUUUUUUGUUCGAGUUAUAUGCCGUUGUGAUGCAUGAAAUUAGAUGAGAAAAAUUAGUUGAUUUAGUAAAAAAAGAAAUAGUUAAUUUAGUAUAAGUCAACUAAGAAACAAUAGUCGAGCAUGUUUGUCGAAAUUUAUUUUAAACAGCUAGUAAGUUUGUAGGUCUGAUAAGUUGUUUUAAGAGCUGAUAAGUUGUACUAGGGCAGGCCAUCGGGCCAUGUAAAUCGAGUUUCAGUCGGCUCAAGCUCACAUACAAUCGGGCCUCGUUAGUAUAGGAUCAAGCUCACAUACCAUGGGGCCUCGUUACUAUAGGCUCAAGCUCACAUACCACCGUGCCUCAUUAGUAUAGGCUGAAGCUCAGCUCAAGUAUUUUUUCGAGCUUCGGAUUUAUAUCGGGUCUCAUUACUAUAUAACUGUAAUGAGUAAAAAAAAAAAGAAUUAUAAAUGCAAGUGAUAAAUAAGAUUUAUCUAUUAAAGUCUAUCCAAAAAACCCUAAACGAUCUUUGCAAGUUAUUUGAGAAACUUAUAUAAAGGAUUGAAAGAAGUAAAAAAAAUUAGUAACUCCUAUUAUUGGAAACAUUUUUUAUAUUCUUAAAUCUCGGUGAUAAAUUUCAGUAAUUAGGUAUCGGUGGGUGUGUUGCACUUGAUUCCUAUUGUCUCACCGCCACCACUUAAUUCCUUUUAUUUUUGACUUUUAUUUUUGCAAAAUAAAAUAUCUUAUACGGCCUUAACUUGUAUGUUGAGUCAUAUAAUAAAAAAAUAAAUAUAUUAGAUAUUUAAUUAUUAAUUUAAUCGGUCGUGCCUUAUUCGGUUGAGCCAUAGUAGACUCAAAUUCAACUCAUAAAUAAACUGGGUUUAGUUAUUAGAUGGCUUACACUUGGACCGACUCACUAAAAAGUAGGUUUGGCUCAAAUAUAAUCGGGCCGAGCCAUAGUGUUUCAGUUAGGCCCGACUCAACUGCCGGUCCUAAGUUGUAUGUUACAUCUUGUUUUAAUAAUUAUCUUUUCAAGUGUUUUGAUAAUGAGCUUAUAAGUUAUUUUUACUCAUUAUAAGAUCGUAAAUAAAAAGAUGAGGUAAAUAUAUUUUUUAAAAAGAUCUUAUUUGCUCUCCAAUAGCUUAUUUUUAAGAUUUUUUUAAAUUACCGAACACUUUGGAAGAACUUAUAAUCUCUUAAACAUCGUAGAAACACUUUUUAAUGGUUUAUAAGCUUAGCCAAACACCCUCAAUCUGUCUAUUUUUAGCAGUUCUUCAUAUUAGGCAAGUUCUCGUUUAUUCUAUAUUUGGCAUGGAUGGGGUGAUGUAGUCUAUUUAUGUCUAUUAGGAGUUGUAUGUUUGCCGCAUGGUGCCACACUUUUUGCAGUCGUUAUACCCGUUGCGCCCAUCUUUGGGGGAACUGUAAGUGGCCUCCGCUGUUGUGGUAAGGUGAACGGGUUCUUUGGAUUUUCCCAAGCUUUCUGUGAUCAUUCUCAUUCUUCUGUCUUAUCUUAAGUUUGGGCCGCAUGUUAUGCCCGUGUUAUUCUAUAUUUGAUAGAUUUUAUUUUUUGGCAGUUAAUAUUUUAAGCUAUUUUGAAGGUUGUAGCAUUUCGCCUAAAAAUAUUUAUGUACUCAAUAAUUUCUUAUCUAUAGACAAGUUUGGGGUCCAACCCAACCCCGGUUUAUGUAGCAUCUACAAAGUCCUUGUAGCUUGGAUGACUUGCAUGGGAAAUUUGCCUCACAAGGUAACUCCCAAGUUCCUUCUCAGCAUGCAAUCUCAUCCGUUGGAUCUUCUUCUUCUCUUGAUUAUAUAUUUUAUUUUAGAAGUUGAAUCAUAGAUGAACAAGUUGGCAUCCAGAAAGAUUCAAGAUGAUCUGGAAUUUCAACUCAAUUAGCUAACGGCAGGCCCGUUCCUGAGAAUUCGGGGGCCCGAGGCGAGGUUUAAAGAACAGCUGAAAACAAGGGCCCCUAUUUGAUAAAAUAUUUUUUAUAGGGUAUAUUACAACUACCCCUGAGUUAUGGUCAAUUUACGAAAAAACCCCUCUUGUUUGGAUAAUUAAAUCUACCCACUCAACUAUGAUUUUUUCUCACAUCUCCACCCUUAUGGGAGCAAAUUCAACAUAAUCAUCUAAAUUUCGUGGAAUGUGAUCUACUUUGUACUCGUUUUGUGUAAAAAUACAGUUUCUGAUGCACCACAAUCUGAUAUAUACAAGCCAAAAACACAUUUUAUGAUCAUCUUGCUUCAAAAUGUGGAGUUCAAAUGGGAUAAAACGGGUAAAAAAAAAGUGAUAAUAUUCCAUAUAAUUUCGAAAAUUCCACUAAAUUUGAAACCGCAAGGGUGGACGUAUAAGAAGAUUUAUAGUUGAAGUGAGUGGUUGUAAUUACCAAAACAAGAGGGGUUUAUAUUUUCUCAAAUUCGCCUACUUCGCCUCUCCUCAGAACCGGCCCUGGCUAACGGAUUUGGGUUUAUAUUUUCUCAAAUUCGAAUAACAUUGUUGUCAAAAUAAGGCUUAAGGUUGACCAACUCAACUGACUUCAACAACUUACACAUGCCCUUAUCUCUUGCCCAAAAUAUAUUUCAAAGGCGGCCGUUAUAUGCAAGCCCAUUUUUUUAUUAGUUCAAACCCCUAAACUAAUUUAUUUUUAUUACAUCAAGACCAAAGAGGACGAAUAUACCCUUAUCCACAAAUAAUACCUAAAUACAAAUAAACUCUAUUUUUUAUUUGUACAAGACCAAAAAAUAAAAAAACUCAAAAGAAAUAAAAGAAAGAAUAAGGAAAAAGAAUGCGACAGCCGCACGGCCACCGCAGAAGACCGCCGCACGACCACCGCACAAGAUUGCCGCACGACCACCACUAGACCGCCGGCGACGAUCAGCAAGCCACCACCACCGCACCACCACCACCAAACCAUCUCCACCGCACCAUCACCAUCACCCCACCACCACCACCAACAAGUCCUUUUUACUAAACUUUUGUUUGUCAAUUCAAAAAUAUUAAUCGAGCAUCGAUUCUUGAUAAAUAUGCGUGGAUGAACAUUAAUCUAUGCUUACUUCUUGUUGGGUUGCAAUGCGUUAGCCGAUUUUGGAAAAAAAAUUGAGAUUGAAAUUUAUUUUUUUGUGUGUUUUCGUUGUUUUCCCAAAUCGGUUUAUCCAGACCGAUUUUGUACACGAAAAUCGGCGUCACAAUACCGAUUUUUGUUAACAAAAUCGGCGACACAACGCCGACUUCACAAGUCAAAAUCGGCGUUGUAACGCCGAUUUUUUUUUUUUUUUUUUAUGAUUUUUGUUUUUUAUUUGGUUUUGAAUUUCAUUAAGGGUAAAUUAGUAUUUUUAUGAUGAAGGUCUUGAACUAAUAAAAAAUUGGGCUUGCAUAUAUCCACCGCCUAUUUCAAAAUAUAAUUUACAUAUAUUUCAUCCAUCAUAUCAUAGUUUUACAAAUAUUGCACAUUGAUCCUCGAUUUUAAUAAAUAUAUCACCUUAACCUCUAUUUUCACAACUUUUUGAAAAAAAAUAUUUCUUUUUUUCAGAAGAUAAAUUAUUAUUUUUCAGCCGACCGAAGUUGAUUUUUUUUUUACUUUUUUAAUUUCCUGCCACCGCCGAUCUCCGGCAUUGACCUUUUUUUGUGAAUUUUUUUUGCUCCACCGUCAGUCUCUGACAUUGAACUUUUUUUGUAAAUAUUUUUUUUCGAAUUAUUUUAUUUUUCCAGUUGUGACUGGUCAACAAAGUAAUAUUAAUGUAAACAUUGUACAGUAAUCGUAUUGUCUUAUAAUACAAUAAUAUUAAAUAUUUUUUACCUUUUGUUUUCAAUUUGGUUUUUAAAACAACCAACACAGUAAUAUUAAUGUCUGAAACAAUAAAAUUGCAUGUCAAGACAUUAAUAUUAAUCUUAACAAACUAACGUUAUUGUAUUAACAACAAUAUUACUGUCCGAGACAAUAAUAUUAAUAUUAGCAUAGUAAUAUUAUUGUGUUAACACUCAUAAAUCGGCGGUGACGGGAAAUUUUUUUCUUUUAUUUUUAUUAUAAAUAAGAAGAAAAAUGUCAACACAUGAGACCAGCGAUGACAGUCAAAAUCAGGGUCAAAUAUGGGUUAGGUGUCCAAAUGGGCUCACUAGUGAAAUUGAUGUUGAAUUAGGGUUUAAAUCAUGAGAUUGGGGUGAAUUAGAGUUUCAAAUGGUUAUGGGUAAUUUUGGUAUAUAUAUGAGAGUUUUUCUUCGUAGCAAAUAAAUGUUGCAUGAGUGGAUAUAUUUGCAAGACAAAAAGAUAAAAUAUCAUAUUUCUAAUUAAGUGUCAUUUCCAUGUAUUUUUUUCGCAAUUUGCGCAGUAUUUAAGAUCUAGUUCACUAAUCAAACUAGUAAUAUCUUUAAGGGGUUAAUAUAGUAAUUUCUAAGGUUGGGCAUGGGUUCGGGUUGGGAAAUUAUCGGCCAAUUACCUAUCCAACCCGAUCGCCAGACUUUGCUUAAAAUUGAAAACCAUUACCAGCCCAAAUAUUAUGGGUCGGGUGAUGGUUGGGAACCGACUUUAUCGAAUAAAUAAUGGGUGAUUGGUUGCUAUUAUCGGCCAUCUAUUUAUUGUAUUUUUUUUUUAACAAUAUAAGAUGUUUUUCAAUGUUUAUUCAAAAGAUAUUCAAAAUUGGGAAAACUUAUGUUGUAAAAAUCUUAACUUUAAUGUAAAAUUAAGAGUUUUUUUUAUUAAACUUUUACAAUAAAUAAAUAUAUAAUGAAGAAUAUAAAAUAGAAAUAGUAUGAGAAGAGGUUUAUAAAAUUUUGUUUUUGAGUUUUGAGUUUUUACUUCUUUUAUAUAUUAUUUUAACAUAAAAACAAAUAAGAAUUACAACUAAAUAUUUAUAAUAAAAAAUUAUUAAAAUAGUUCGUUGGCAGGAUAUAUUACCUUACCAAUCGACUUUUGAGUAACCUGAAAACCACUGACCGACCUAUUUAUUUAUGGGUUGGUUAAAAUUACCGGCCCGAUAAUAAAAAUAUCGGCGAAAAGAAGCGAGUCGAAAGUGGGUCGAUUGGCCGAUAAUAAAACCAACCCAUAUCCCACCCUAGUAAUUUCAAUCAUGAAUUAAUAGCACUACCCAAUUUUACCGGGCUAUUGACGCACGAAAAAUCUCUCCCUUUGUUUUGUGAAAGUCUCAACGAAGUAGAUAUCACUUAAAUGUGUGUCUUAAUUAUCUCUAAAUCACAAGCAAUGUUUUUAAAACCGGACCGGACAUUGACCCAGCUAGCCAACUGGGUCACGGUUGGACCGGUUCAACCGAGGUUCAACCGAGUUUUUGAAUAUUUUUAUUUUAAUAUUAUUUAUAUUUAAUUUAAUAUAAAAAUAUUGUAAAAAUAAAUUAAAAAAAGCCUACUAAUUAUUAAAAAUCAACCUAAAUAUUCAAUUCAACUAAUUAUCCAGCAAUAAAUAUUAAAUAUUGAAGACCAAAAAUACAAAUGUACAUAACACAUUCCAUAAUUGAAAUUAAAAAAGUGAAAGAAUGAGACAGUGAAAAAAAGUCUAAAAAAUUAAUCGAACCAAAAAAAAAAAAUGAGUAAUACAAAGAAAGAGAAAAUGUUCUGACUAACCCACUCCCCAAGCCCCCUCUCUAUCUCUCCUCUCUCUUUCUCUCUCUAUAUCUCUUCUUCUUCCGUCUUACAACCACAACCACCCAGUUCCACUGCAACUUAUUUCUUCUUAUUUUCUUCCUAUAGCUACAGUCCAAGAUUCAUCCCAGCCCGUAUAUCCGGCCCCCUCGGAAAUCACAGCCCCUCUUUUUGUCAUUCUUAUUCUUUUAUUUUCUCCCCUUUCCGAACAUCUCAAUCAAGAUUCCUCACCCACUGCCUAGAUUUUCUUUUUUUUUCUUGGUUUGUAAGAACCGGUCCUUCAACGGUUCACCCGGUCCGACCGUAAUUUUUUCCGGUUCUUAGACAGUGACCCGGUUUUUUGAUACUUACGGGUUUAUGUGUUCAACCGGACCGGACUACCGUCCGGUUCCCGGUUAAACCGGUCCGACCGGCCGGUCCGGUCCGGGUUUCAAAACAUUGAUCACAAGUAAUCUAUCUAUCUAUCUAUAUCUAUAUCUAUCUAUCUAUCUAUUCUAUACUUAUAAAAGUAUAAAUAGUUUGGAGGUUUCUUUCCUUUUUUUAUGGACAAAAUUACCCUACAAAAUAACCUUUAGAUAUGGGAUUUAUUGGACAACAAGGUCAUUUAACUAUCUACUUUGAUAUCAGUAACUAAUAGUAAUUCUUCCUUUAAUAAUUGAGUUCAAAUGAAUUUAUAUUCAAAAAACACACAAUUAAUUAAAUAUGACAUUUAAAAUCGGCAAAAGAAAUACACAAUGAUGUACUUUAGCUAGAUAAAAUCUAAAGUAUAAUUAGAUAAUAUUAUUUUAUAAUCAAUUUCCUCAAAAAAAUAAAGUUAUAAUUAGUCAGUAAUUUAUCGUAUAUUAAUCAGUAGCUUAUUGUAUUUUAAAAACAAUACGUAAUAGUGUAAUUUAAUUUUAGUACCAUUUUAUGUAGGUAAUGAAAAUCCCUAUGAAUAUAUUAUAGAAAAAAAAAGAUAACAUUUAAAGGGUAAUUACAUAAUAUCAUGUUAUAAUUAAUUUCCUCAAAAAAAUUAAAAUUACAAUUUAAUCAGUAGUUUAUUGUAUACUAAUUAAAGUAACUGAGAUUUUUGAUUUCACUUGACAAAAACACAUAAAAGCAAUAGACAAUAGAAUAGUGUUUACCAAUCAAGACAAAAGUAGAUGAGACGGAUUCAUGAAUUUACAAAAAAUAUGUAUUAAUGUAAAGUCUAAAUGACACUCAAUACAAGAAACUCAACGGUCUUUCUAAUUUGUUAUGGGUUUUAAUUUUACGGGUUAAAUAUAUUUUGCACCCCUGAAGUAUAGCUUAUGUACCUCUUACUGCUUAAAGUGUCAUUUGUAACACUUAUCUGCCUCAACAGCAAGUAUUUAUAUUUUAAAAUUCAAAUUAUAAUAAACAUAACAGUCUGAUAGUUAUUGGAUCAUAUAAACCUUAAGUAACUAAAAUUAAAUUNNNNNNNNNNNNNNNNNNNNNNNNNNNNNNNNNNNNNNNNNNNNNNNNNNNNNNNNNNNNNNNNNNNNNNNNNNNNNNNNNNNNNNNNNNNNNNNNNNNNUAUAUAUAUAUAUAUAUAUAUAUAUAUAUGUAUAUAUAUAUAUAUAUAUACAUAUAUAUAUAUAUAUAUAUAUAUAUAUAUAGAUAUAUAUAUACAUAUAUAUAUAUAUAUAUAUAUAUAUAUAUAUAUAUAUAUAUAUAUAUAUAUAUAUAUAUAUAUAUAUAUAUAUAUAUAUAUAUAUAUAUAUAUAUAUAUAAUAUUUUAAGAUAUUGGAAUUUAAAAUACAUAUUAAAUUGUGCUUGAGGGGGUAAAUGUUACAAAUGAAACUUUAAGAGCGUAAGUGUUACAAAGAUUAUAUAUUAGGGGUUUAAACUGUAUUUAAUCCUAAUUCUAAAGCCGGUACAAGUUACAACAUAUCAUCAAUUUAAUAUUAAUUUAUUCAUAAAAUAUUUACAUUGAUGAAUGUAACCACAAAUAUAUAGGCACUUUUAUUAUAUACACAACUAUAAUAUGUUAUUCUCAUCAGAUGCACCAGAUAUUAAACGAUAAAUCACAAUUCAGAUUCAAAUAGCAACACCAUCAGCAACUAUUGAAACUCCAAACUACAGAUGCAUGUGCAUGACGUAUUUAAGUAUCAAAUAUAAUCUCAUUUUUUUUUGUACUAUUUAACUCAUUCGAUAGAUUAUGAUAAAUUGGCUGAAUCUCUCUCUAUAUUUUCUUAGACCAUGGAUCUCUCUAUACGUUGCCCUUCUUUCCCUUAAGAACUCUACUUGAUAGAUCUCUUUUUUCUUCUUACAUUUAGAAAAUUUGUAGCAUGCCUCAUAUUUAAUUCACUCAUCUUUGCUACGCAACUCUUUAGGAUUCAAAGUUGCCUGAACUUCAAAAAACAUUUCUAAUAAUCCCCGACCCUCAUCGAAAACAUCAUUUACAUGUCCAUAAUCUAUAACCAAAAUAGUUUUGAAAAUCUAUUUUCCUAUUUUCAGUUAUGAAUAAAAAAAUAACAUGCUAUUGAUUGAAACUACAAAAAUAACAUCUUUUAAUGAUGACCAGGAGCACAUUAAGAGUUUUGGAGGAAAAAAAAUCAAAUUAACAAGAUUAAAAUAUAAUAAAAAAGAUCAUGAAUGAAAAUAUAAGUAUAACGUAUGAAUCUAAAUGUAUUGAAAUAUCAGAAAAUGUUAGAUUUUAUUGAAAAAUAAUAUUAAUAUACUUCAAAUAACUUAGAUAUUUUCAUUAUCUAUUUAAUUAAUUUUAUCGAAUAUAUAUCAAAAACAGCAAAAAAAAAAAAUUAAAUAAAAAGAAUCUCAUAAAUAUACUGUGACACAAGACGUGCAACACACGUCCACCUUCCUAAUUCUUAUAAACACACACAUAAGAUAGACUAAGGUGUAAUAAAUCAAAACAAUAGCUUCACGCUAUUUCCUUUAACAUGGUUAAGAUUAGAUGUAUUAAAUUGUUGUGCUACAACGAUAUUUUUGGAAAGGUCGAAUUACAUUUAAGGGGAAAUGAGUGAUAAGCCCCUAGUUUUGAAAAUAUAUAUGAGGAGGCCAAAUAAAAAUUUUCUCUUUAGUCAAAAACCCAAAUUCUGAUCUUAAUUAGGGAGACCCAAAUUUUCUCUAGAAAACUCGAAGUACCUAUUUUACCCUUUUAGUUUUAAUUCAAUACACAAAACCCUAGCCCACCCUUCUUUUUUCCACUCACAUGCGUUCUCCCUAACUCUCUCUUUCUCUCAAACUCACGUGACUUCCCCCUCUCUUCAUCUCUCUCUCUAACUUUCUCUCUCUAACUUUCUCCUCUCUCUUCAUCUCUCUCUCUCUCUCUCUAACUUUUUCUCUCUAAUUUGCCUCCCUCUCUAACUUUCUCUCUCUAACUCUCCCUCUCUAACUCUCCCUCUUACAAAUCCUCCGCCGUCAGAUCUCCUUCCCCCACCGCCUUGCGCCGAUUGUCACUAUUUUACACCGCUGCUCCGACACCGUAUUCCGCUGCUCCGACACCGCCGCACGCCGCUGUUCCGCAACCGCCUUACGCCGGCCAUCGUUGCUCCUCCCAUCGUUUUGAACUCUGUAUUAAAACAUCUAUUUCCGUUUGAAAUGAUUUCUACGUUAUUGUUUUAGUUUCGUUUCUUUUUUUUUUUGUUUAGGAGGGCUCAAACCAGAUCUACUAUUUCUUAUAAAAAAAAAUCAGAUCUACUAUGUUUUUGAAGAUCUGUGAACAAUUAAUAUCAAAAUAUUCUUUUUUUGGAUUAAUUUGAUUUUUUAUUUUGUUUGAUUCUUAUCUUUUUCAUUUUUAUUAUAAAUCAUAUGUAAUUUAUUUUUUGUAUUUAUUUGAAGAUGAUUCAAAAUGCCUCAACCGUGAGAUUUGUGAAAAAAUAAUAUUAGAAUCUUUUUUUUUUAAUUAAUUUAAUUUUUUAUUUUGUUUGAUUCUUAUCUUUUUCAUUUUUAUUAUAAAUCAUAUGCAAUUUAUUUUUUGUAUUUAUUUGAAGAUGAUUUGAAAUGCCUCAAGUGUAAGAGCUUUGUUUGUCUUUAGUAAAAAUUUAACCAGUAGUGGUUAUUUACAUGGGUGGUUUGAGUCAGGUGAAUAUACAGUUAUAUUUAGUCAUAUGCAGUCAUAUAUAGUCAGUCAUAUGUAGUCAUGUAUAGUCAUGACUACAUAUAACUAUACAUGACUAUAAUACUUGUAGUACACCAUAGUCAUUUGUAUCGAUUUUAGUACAAUAAAUUUAUCACAAAAAAAAAAUCAUGUUUUUUUGUAUUUUUCAUGUAAUGUAAUUUGAAUUUUGCAAGUAUUUUUUGAGUUCACCAGAGUAUUUUUUUUACAACCAUCAUCGAAUUUUGCAGUUAUUUUUUUAGUUUUGGUUUUAAUAUGUUUUCUUAUUUUUUCGUGGGAAGCUGUGAGUUUAAUUUUAGGAGUCGAUUUGUACAUAAAACGCGAUUGUUGUGGCAAGAAAUAUAAAAAGAAAAAAACUCGAAACUUGUUCCUGGUGGUGGUGCGACAAAACUGACUGUUCAUCCAUUGAAGGCAUAGAAAAGGUAAUGAAUUUUAAUGUGCUUCUUAAUAUAGUGAAUCACUGUUUAUUGGUCCUCAGAUGAUUUGUUUACUUUUUUUUUGUACUUGGGAGUAUAUAGAUUCGUGAUGAGAAUAUUUUGUUGGUAAUAUGAUAUUGAUAUUUUAUUUAUCGAGAAUGAAAUAGGUGACUACUUUACGUGUCAACUAUUAUUUUAUCUAUGGUGUUCCACUUCAACUUGCUUUGAUCUUUGACCUUUGGUUAUAUGAAGAAUAAUGACUAACAUACUCUGUUUGUAAUUUGAUUUUGAUAAUAUAAGCUGUCUCGUAUCACUUGGAGAACAAAGUCAGGUACUUGAAGGGACAAAUAAAGUCACAUACAUGUAUAUAGUCACAUGUGGUCAUAUAGCUGUAGUCAUAUAUAGUCAUGUGUAGUAACAUACAGUAAUAUAUGGUGUAGUCACAUAUAGUAAUAUAUAGUUACGUGUAGUAACAUACAGUAAUAUAUGGUGUAGUCACAUGUAGUGAUAUAUAGUUAUAUAUAAACUAUGUAGUCAUGUAGUCAUAUGUAGUCAUGUAUGAGUUAUGUGGGGAGUAUCUAUGUAUACCAGUAGGUGAUAGUGCGUGUCUGCACAUUUAAAUUUGAAGCAAAAUUCGUUGUUUGUUUAACUUUUUUUCUUUUUCACAGGUCUUGGUGUUUGAACUACUAUGUAGUAUGUUUUUGCGGAGUGGAUUGUGUUCGUUGUUCAAAACAAGCGGUUCUCGUGUUGAUAAGUGCGAUUUGAGUGAAAUUUAGUCGUAUAGAUAACUGUAGUCAUAUAUAGUUUCAUUCAUGUAGUUAUAUAUAUUUAUAUACAAGCUAUGUGGUUUUUCUGAUGUAUAGUGAUCUUGAUGAUUGUGUUUUUUUUCACUUUUUUGUUAGGCAUUAAAUUAUUUAUAAUAUGAAGAAUCCAAAUUUGAAUUUUUUUAUUGGUAUAGAUGAUUUUUUAUAUAUAUAAUCAACGGUUUUUAUAAUCGAUUGACCAUAACUUUUGGAUAAAAAAAUAGUACAUGGCUAUAUAUAACUAUACAUGACUGUGGUAUACUAUAGUCAUGUGUAGUCAAUUUUAGUACAGUAAAUUCAAAAUUAAAAAAAAAAAAUUAAAAAUUAAAAAUUAAAAAAAAUUAAAAAAAUUAAAAAAGGAAAAUUAAAAAAAAAAUAAAAAUUAAAAAUAAUUAAAAAAUUAAAAAUUAAAAAUUAAAAAACAGGGUGCGUAUAAAAAAAUAAUAAUAAAAUAAAAAUUUAUAAUUUUUUAUUAAAAAAUCUGAAAAAAUGAUAAAUGCAGGUCUAAAAAUGUGGAGUGCAGUUAGCUAUAAUGCUGAAUGCAGUUGGAAAAGCUGAAUGCAGUUGGUUAAAAUUUAUAAAUAAGGGCACAAACUUUUGUCUCUCCAGGGGUGUAUCUCAAAGAAAAAAAUUUAAGAGUGAACUUAUCCCUAUAUAUUUUCUAUUCUAGGGGUGUAUAUCAAAUAGCCCCUUACAUGUAAAUUGUGAACAAUUAUUUAUUAGUAUCAACAACUUGCCCAAUCAAAUAAUAUAACAAAUCAUAAUUUAUAAACUAUUAUACAAAGUCUAUAACAGAUAACCCCUUGAUAUAAACUAUCAACAAGUUUACUUUCAUAUACUAGAACAAUUCAACUACCCACAAAAAUAAAACAAUUGAAACAAUUUGGUGAAAUACAAUGUUUUAUUACAAAUAAUUAAAUUGAACAAUUCAAAAGAAGUGCCAGCUGUUGUCAAAUAUUUGUGCUGGCAGGAUAGGAUAUUCUUGAUCUCCUACAACUAAGUAAUGUGUCCCUGAUUGAAUCACCAUUGUCCCAUCUUCACUAGCACUACUAAAAUGCUCGCAUGGAUUUAUUUCAAAUUCAACAUUAGCCUUUUCAUUUGCAUUUAAUCUCACUGUCUGAAAUCCGACCAACUGUUUCACUGGACUACCCUUAACGGCUUCGUCGCGCCUUACAAAUAACAGAACCGAGUUCUUACCGGCCAUCUCCCCUUCAUUUUCUACGCUAACAAUAACCGAAAACUUUGCGUUCUCGCAUUUUUCGAAGCCAAUAUCCGAAACUGGAAUUUCGUACGGUCUUUUAAGCCUCUUUGCGGUCGAUAAUCUCUUGACAUCGAGAUUGUUUUUGCCAACGUUAAUAAAUUUGUAUGAAUAAUUUGAGUAGCUAAGACCAUAGCCGAACUCAUAAACUUUUUCGCCUUGAUAAAAUCUGUACGUUCGUCCCGGGUAGCCGGAUAAAGGAUCGGACCUCAUUCUCAUAUCAGUCAUUGGUAUUUUGAUGAAAUCUUUCGGAUACCAAGUCAUAGGCAGCCUUCCCCCUAACGAAACAAAACAACAUAAAUCUUUUUGCUAGUAAUAUAUAUAUAUAUAUAUAUAUAUAUAUAUAUAUAUAUAUAUAUAUAUAUAUAUAUAUAUAUACAUUUGAAUCAUAAGAAUUGUUUUGUGAAGAAAUAUACCUGGAUUGUGGUCACCAAAUAUAAUCUCGGCAAUAGCUCUUCCUCCAGCUUCACCGGGAUAUCCGGUCCACAAAAUACUCCCGAUUUUAGGAUUAUGUUUCGCGAACGAAAUAUCAACAGGGCCUCCACAGAGCAAUACCAAUAUAACCGGAUUUUUAGCUGCCUUUGCAACACUCAUGAUAAGACUUUGUUGCUGACCUGGAAGUACCAAGUCUUCUCGAUCCAAAUCCUCGCGCUCAAAAUCUUGAUUGAUUCCCAUUACAAGUACAACAUAAUCUGCUGAUUUGGCAAGUCUCGUCGCUUCUCUGGAGGCAAUUGAGGUGCAGUUGAUGGUUUCGCAACCCUGAUGGAAUUCGGUUUUCCUGACAUAAUUCAUUAGUCCUUGUAGUGGAGUAACCGUGUUGCACGGUGGGCCCGCGUAGCUUCCUAAGAGUGUUUGCGAGACAUUGGCAUUGGGGCCUAUUACUGCAAGAGAUUUUGUUUCGGAUUUGGAUAAUGGAAGUAGAUUUGCAGAGUUCUUUAAAAGGACAAUCCCAUCGCGUGCAACUUCGAGCGCCAAAUCUUGAUGCUCGUGAGUACAUAUGUCGUUAUGGCUAAGGUUUCCGUACGGAAGUUGACUUGGAUUGCCGUUGAAAAGUCCUAAUCUCAUUCUGACAGAGAAUAGGUUGUGAAGGGCUCUGUCUAUAUCAAAUUCACUCACUUUCCCCAUUUGGAUUGCUGAUUUUGUGUGAUUCGCCAGAUAGUUGCCGCAUUCGACAUCCAUGCCUAUUUUUUUUUUUUUAGUUUGAUAAGAAAAAUGUCUUUAGAAUUUAUUUUGUUUAAAUUAAGUCGAUCAAUGGUUUAUACGCUAAGUUACCUGCUUUGAGAACAUCGGCCACAGCGUCUUCGUGUGAUUUGGAGUACUUUUGCAUCUCGUAUAGAUGUGGGACCGCAUGAUCGUCCGAUGCUAUAUACCUGGUUGUUUUCGGUUAAAUAAUUAGAGACACGAUGAACAUCUACAAGAAUACUAAUUGUUUUUUUCAAGUUAAUUGAAGUUAGUAAGUUACCCUUGAAAUCCCCAUUCCCCACGAACGGUUUUCGUUAGUAGAUUAUAAUCAGCACAAUUUGGAACACCGUUGACGGAAUUAUAAGCACACAUAACCCCACUCGCUCGACCAUCCUUCACACAACUUUUAAAAGAUGGUUGAAAUGUAUCCGACAUAUCCUGCUUCGUCACCUAUUCAAAACAAUCAACACAUUUUUUUCUUUAGAAAAAAAAAUUCAUUUAUUCUAAACAUUUGUCGUAAUGUAAUGUAAUGUUGGAGAGAAAUUCAUACAAGAGCGUCGAACGUGAAACGACUAUUUCCGUUCCAACUCUCCAAAUCAUAGGCGGUGAGAUGCUUGCAGCAUGCGGAGGCUUGAAGAUGGCCAUCUCUAAGGUCACCCCCUUCGAAACUGUCGCCUUGGAUUCCUCGAACGAACGAGACGGCGUAUUUACUUGUCAUAAAAGGGUCUUCGCCAGGUGUCUCUUGUCCCCUUCCCCACCUCGGAUCUCGGAAAAUGUUGACGUUCGGCGACCAAAAUGUCAUGCCUACUGCAUGCCCUUCAUUGUAUAUAGCUCUAGCUUCUUUGCCCAUCACCUUCAAAUGCAUACUUAUAUGUGUUAGCUAACAAAAUUAUUCGAAAAUCGACGAAUAAAGAACACAUAUAUAGCUCAAUAGUGAAUAUUCGCCAAUAUAAUCUAACAAUCACGGGUCGAACAAGAAUUUUUUGAAUUACCAUAUGGUGCAUACGGCGUUAGAGACAGCCAGUGGCGGAUCCACUCUCUGCUUAGGGUGGACUCCAACCCACUCUAUGACUCUAAUAAUUAUAUAUUGUAAGGUCUCGUUUGGUUGUCAAGAUAAAAUUGAAUAAUUUUAUGAAACCCAACUAUAUUUUUUGGAUCUUUGAAUAUCCAAUAAAACCCAUACUAAAAGACAAGUUAAGACAUGAUAACAUAUAUUUACGGGUCGACCCGGUAAGUUAUGGGGAUACCAAACAUCAAACAAAGUCUAAUUGACCCGUUUGGCUAAGCUUAUUUUAAGCAGCUGCUAAGUUCUUACGUUCUGAUAAUAUGUUUUAAGAGCCGAUAAGCUGUUACAUCUUAUUUUUAGAACUAAAUUUUUAAAGUGUUUGGAUAACGAUCUUUUAAGCUAUUUUUAUACAUUAUAAGAUCUUAAAUAAAAAUAUGCGGUAGAGGUACUUUUAAAAAAAAAUCUUAUUUACUCUCCAACAGCAUAUUUUUUAAAAAAAUUAAGAUUAUUUCUUGAAAAUUACCAAAUACUUUGAAAGAACUUAUAAGGUCUGAAACAUCUUAUAAGCUAAUUGCGGGUAGAAAGAUUAUUUAGUUAAACAAAUCUAAAUAUAUAUGGAUAAAGAUUAAUCUAAAGGUCAAAGAGUUAGAUAAGUAUGUAAUACGCAAUUAAAAUUAAAAUUCAAGUAGCUUAUGUUGUCAUAUCAUAUAAAUCAUAAGUCAAGUGGCAGUUUAACUAAAAGUUAUAUUGUAGUAGUUUAAAAGCAGCUACUACAGCAGUUAUUGUAACUACCUACAGGCUACAUCAGCUGAGCUGACCAUUUAUAUAUAUAUAUAUAUAUAUAUAUAUAUAUAUAUAUAUAUAUAUAUAUAUAUAUAUAUAUAUAUAUAUAUAUAUAUAUAUAUAUAUAUAUAUAUAUAUAUAUAUAUAUAUAUAUAUAUAUAUAUAAUCAAGUAGAUUAAUUAUAAUAGUAAUAUAGCCAGCAGUGACGUGGAAACUCACAUGCCACGUUAUUUAAGUAAAUCCCAAUAAUAUAAUACCUCACUUCAAAUAAAAAUAAAUAAAUAAAUAAAUAGUUAUGUAAUGGACUAAUUAAUAUACCUUGGCAAUUCGAUACCAAAGAUUCUCGUCGAAUGUAGAUGCUGUGAGUAUGACCUGAGGAAAACUAGUCGCCGACUUGAUCGUCUCGUCGAACGUUACGCCGGAGUCCGCUGUCGUGGACCCCGCGACGCCAUGCAGGGACUCCGACCACCACUGGUAGUACGGUAUCCCCAGCCGCGGAACGGCCGACGCCUUGUUGACCAGCUGCGAGAUUUUCUCGUCCAACGAGAGUCGGGAUAUCAAGUCGUGGGCCCGCUCGGGUAUCGGCAAGUCGGAGUUGCAGAACGGGUACGACUUUGUCGAUGUGGCGGCCGAGUCGCACGAGAAUGGCGGGAGUUUAUUGGCUGAUUGAGCCUUUAAGAUUUCGAGUAAUAUGAUAGAGCAUAUUAUUGUAAAUUUGAGAGCCAUUUUUUUUUAAUGAAUGGAAUUGUAAUUUUUCAUGUUAUGGGAGGUCGUUUAUAUAUAGUGAAGAGGUAGUCAACUAAAUUAAUUUUGCACAGAAAAAAAAUGUCUAUCACGUUUGCUGACUAGGAUAUGAGCUGGCAAUAAUUGAUUAGUGAUAGUGAAUAUGAUAGGAUCUGAUCAAACAAUAUUUAAUUUCCUCGUGUAUUAUUAUUAUUUUUGUAAAUAAUUAAGGUAGUCAUUUCUAUAUUGGGGCAAAUGCAGCACAACAUGGAAUAGUCAACUAAAUUGAUUCACUACAAAAAAAUGUUUAUUACGUUUGGUGAUUAGGAUAUUUGGUGGCAAUAGUACUUGGAUAGGUGAUAAAUCAUAAUCAAUAUGUAGUCGUUCGGGCCAUGUGAAUCGAGCUUGGGUUGACUAAAGCUCACAUUCCAAAAAAUCUUAUUAUUAUAGGCUCAAGCUCAUAAAUUAUUGGGUUCAAACUUGACUGGUGUAUUUUUUCAGGCUUUGGAUUUAUAUCGGGCUUACAUCGAACAAUUACAUAAUUUACAACUUUUUGGUCGAACGUGUUCAAUAAAAAAAAACCUUCACAGAAGAGGAAAACCUAGAAUAUUCAUAAAGAGUAAAAUAAGAUGAAAACUAUAGUCGCAUUGUAGAAUGAAAACCGUAGUUUGUUCCUUAAAACAAAUAAAGUGUAACGUUGCAAGCCUUUAAUCCUUAAGUAAUUAAUAUGACAAAAAAUGCACAUAGAAGCAAUUCUAGAUGCAGUCCUAACUCUUUUCUAAAUGUUGAGCCUAAAAUUAAAAAUAUAUUAUUUAUUUAAUUAUUAACUUAAUUGGUCGGACCUUAUAUGGGUUGAGUCACAAUAGGCUCAAAAUCCACUCAUAAACGAUCAGGUUUAAAUAAAUGAUCAAACUUGGCCCGGCUCAUGGCUAGUUAUACUCAGCUCAAAUAAAAUUGUACCAAACAUUCGGGUUUCAGGUAGUCACAGCUCAAUUGUCGGUCCUAAAUAGGAUCUAACAAUAUUUUUUUCCUUGUAUUCUAAUUUUUCUUUUAUUUUUCUUAGUAAUUAAAGUAAUCAUUUGUUACUAAUUUUUUUAUAUGUAUUUUUCUUGUAUUUAUAUAUAUAUAUAUAUAUAUAUAUAUAUAUAUAUAUAUAUAUAUAGAUUAGCUAUAAAUUAUAAUGUUCACAAGGAUUAUUUGACCCUACCUAAAGAUUAUAUCAAUAUUCUUUAAUAAUUUCUGGAUAUAUAUGUUAUAUUAUAUGGUUUUAUUCCCAUGCAACUAGUUCCAAUCUUAUCUGCCAUGAAAUUUUGGCCUUUGGAAAUAAAUAGACAGCUGGAAAUGUAAUUACGAAAAUAAAUAGGGUUAAAUACAGUUUGCACCCCUGUACUAUUAUCACUGUCGCAUUUGCCCCCCUGAACUAUCAAAUGCGACAAAACAACCCCUCAUUUUAACAGUCAACUAUUAAAAUCUUAACACCGUUAAGUAGCUUAGUGCAAUUACAUUUCUACCCUUACCCCCACAAGCAUGUAAUUUGAAACUUCUGCAACUUGAGAAUUUCCUUCCAUCCGAACGCAAUUCUCCGAAUGACUUUAACAAUUGGAAACUGAAGUCUAGAGAUUCAAGAUUUUCUCUUCCUGGGGAGGAUUUUGGGAUCAUCGUAGUUUAAUUUUCUAUUUUGGUUGAAUUUCGAGCUGGCGGAGAAAUAUUUCCUUAAUGGUGACAAAAAUGGGUGGCCGCAUCUGGGUGUGGUCAAGUUGAGUGGCCAAGGGCUAUCAAACGAUGAUUGAGGGUUUAUCAAACCCAUGUUCCAAUCGUUGCCCGAUUCUAUCGAGACCGAAAUUAGUGGUACUAAAUCAGACCAGCCAACAACGUGGGUUUAUCAAACCCAUCUUUCGACAACCCAUUUUCAAUCUCAAUCUCUCAAAUUGGUCUUUCAUUUUUCUAUUAGGCUUACAAUUAGGCGCAAAUCUCAUGAGAAUUUUUCUAAGAAUUAUUUGGAACAAAAAAUCUUAAUGUUCUUAUCUGAUGAAUGUAUGCGUUCAUGAUGCUGCUUCUCCUGUUGUCUUUUCUUUCCUUUUUUUUCUUUUUUUUUUUUGGUUCUUUUCGAUGAUUUAAAUAUAAAUAUAAUAAUGGAAUUCAAUUGAAGAAGGAAAAAAAUGGGAAAAAGAAGAAAAGUAUACUAUAAGAUAAACUAAUUGUUGUUAAAUUUUACUUUUUUAUAAAAUUUGCGGAUCAACAAUUAAAAAUAUAUUUUUUAAUUCUUACAAAAGAAAAAAAAAAUUUAUCGUUUUAUCGUGUUUCAAAGAUUUAUUCAUUUUACACGUUAUUACUAUUUUCUUAAUAAUUGUUUGCCCUUUUUUUAAAUACUAGAGUUUAUUUCAUUUGUUUUAUUUUUCUCAAAUAUUUACUUAAAGGGUAAGAUUGUCAGAAAAAGAUCAAACACUUUGGUCAAUGCGCCACAUCAUCUUUAAUGGACAGAAAGGCUAACGGUCGUUAACGGAAGGGUCAUUUUGUCGCAUUUGAUAGUUCAGGGGGGUAAAUGCGACAAUGGCAAUAGUACAAGGGUGCAAAGUGUAUUUAACCCAAAUAAAUAAUAAUUAAAUGUUGGAAAACCAAAGGGACCCAAUGAAAGUUGGAAAGCUAACAUGGGAUUCACAUGUUGUUUAGAUUCGAAUUUAAUUGGAUGAUUUGUUUAAUAUAUAAUUUAUUUUUCUGACUUUUCCAACCACACGAUUCACACUUGUGUAUAUUAUAUUACUACUAGUUUGUGUCCCUAAUGAAAAAUAAUAAUUCAUGUGUUGAAUUGAUUCUAAUUCAUAAUUAGUUGAUUAGUUCAUUAUUGGCAUUCAUUAAUUUUUAUAUUGGGAAUCCUAUAUUCUGAAAAGUGAAAACAUUGAAAUCAAAACUCUACUUAGCAUUGUGUUUUUCUUACUGUCACAACCAUCAUAAAGUUCGAUGGAACGUAUCGGAAUUAGCUUUUUUCAAAAAUUUCCGUUGUCUUUUGGAAGUUCAAAAUCAAUUCUCAUUCCAAAAAUUUUGGAAUCUUAAAAUUCAUUCCUAUUCGUAAAGUCCCGGAAAUUACAAAAUUUUAAAAAUCAUUUAAGGUUUAAAAUUUCAAAACUUAGCGGAAAGUUUAUAAGGUUUCAUAAUCUUCCAAAUAUAAGUACGUCCACUUUGUAAAUAACAAAAAUAGAAAGUAGAGUUUUUUUUUAGGUGACAUAACCCAUCAGGUACAAAUAUAAUUAAAUAUUUAGAGUGAAUAGCAAAAAUGCCUAUCACAUGGGACUUAAAUGCAUUUUGGUUCAUAAAAAAAAGUCUCUCAAUUAAACCCAUCCACAUGUCUUUAUAUCCUCCAUAAUAUAAUUCUUAUCAAUUCCACUCAUUAUGCUCUAACUUCCUUAAUAUUACACAUUAACCCCGGAUUUAAUCAAAUAUAUCACAUUAACCCCCAAUUCUUUUUUUUCAGAAAAUGAUUUUUUUUCUGAAUUUUUUUUUUCCGGCCACAUUCCGGCGUUGACUAUUUUUUUUCUUUUUUUUUUAAUUUUUUUUUUCCUGAAAUUUUUUUCCGGCCGGUCAACCACCGUUGACUUUUUUUUUUUUUUUUAAUUUGUUUUUCUUAGAAAAAAAAUAUUUUAAUUAAUAUUAAUAUCUUGACUACUAAAUUACUGUCUCAGACACUAAUAUUACUGUUUCGGACAGUAAUAUUAUGAAUAUUAUUUUCCCGAACAGUAAUAUUAUUAAUAUUAUUGUCUAAGACAGUUAAAUUACUGUUGGAGACAGUAAUUUAGCAGCCAAGGCAGUAAUAUUAAUUAAAAUAUUUUUUUUUAAGAAAAAAAAUGAAAAAAAAGUCAAUUAACAGUUAAAUUACUGUCUCCGACAGUUAAAUAACUGCUGGAGACAAUAAUUUAGUAACAAAUACAGUAAUAUUAAUUAAAAAUAUUUUUUUUAAGAAUAAAAAAGUCAAUUAACAGUUAAAUUACUGUCUCCGACAGUUAAAUAACUGCUGGAGACAGUAAUUUAGCAACGAAUACAAUAAUAUUAAUUAAAAUAUUUUUCAAAAAAUCAAUUAACAUUUAAAUUACUGUCUCCGAUAGUUAAAUAACUGUUCGAGACAGUAAUUUAGUAGCAAAGACAAUAAUAUUAAUUAAAAUAUUUUUGAAGAAAAAAAAAGGUAAAUUUACAGUUAAAUUACUGUCUUCGGCAGUUGACAGGGCGGAAAAAAAAUUAUGGGGAAAAAAAGUUUUUCAAAAAAAAAAAAAAAAAGUCAACGGCGGUCUCCGGCGGUCAACGCCGGUCAAGGGCGGCGACCGGCGGUCUCCGGUGAUGGCGGGUCAAAAUUGAGGUCAAAAUUGAAAUUAGGGUUAAAAUUGGUUAAUUGAUGAAAUUGGGGUGUAAAUAAUGAAAUUGGAGUUGAAUUGAGUUUCAAUGAAUUGGGGGUAAUUUUGAUAUAUAUAAAGGGAUUUUCCUUAUUUACAAAUAAGUUUGAAUGUGAUGGAUUUAUUUGAAAGACAAAAAUUGAAUGUUCAUCUUUUAAUUAAGUGCCCUUGUCAUGGGCCUAUUUGCCAUUUACCCAAAUAUUUAAUUUAUUUUGCAUUAAGUAAAAUAAGUACUAAUAUAUAAGGGUGUAUUUUUCAAAAAAAUAAAAACAGAGCUUUCACAAUUAAUUUUGGAAAUUAAAUUGGAUCAGAUAUUCAAUUUUUUUUUAUAUAUAACUCUAAUUUCAAUCCAAAAACAUGGAAAUUUUCAAAAACCGAAAUGAAAAAACAUUGUUCCAUAAUCAGAACUCUUCAUAUCGGAAUCGGCAAAAAUUAAAAUUAUAAUUGAAAUGUAUUUUUUCUGUCAAAAAAUAGAAAGAACAAGUAGAGUAGCUAGUUCUGUAAAUAUGCCUAGCUUGAGAGGCUUUUAGAUCUCAAGCUCAUCCAAGUUUCAUUUUCCAGUUUCAAGACUUUUUUUCAUAUUAAUAUUAAGUAUUAAGGCAGUUUACAAAUAAGUUUAUUGCUGGGGACUUAUUUCUGAAGGGAUAAAACUCUUUUAAAAAAGAGUCCACACAUUGUUCAGAGACUUGUAAAAGAUUAAAAUAGCCUCUCACUUUUUAAUAUGCUCAAAUUUCAUCAUUUAAUUUAAUUUAACAUCAAUUUGACCCAAAUUUUACAAAUUAUUCAAUUUUGACAAAAAAUACAAUUUUGAGUAUAAUUUCGUUCGUCGCCACCGUUGACCCAAAUUUCGACAUUGACUUUUUCGAUUUGGUUUUUUUUCUUCCAGAUUUUUCCGCCGGUUUCCGGCGUUGACUUUUUCGAUUUUUUUUCUUUAACAUCUUUUUGCCCUCGUUUAAACAACAAUAUUGUUGUGGUUGACACUAAUACUAAUAUAUUACUGUUAAACACAAUAAUAUUAACUAUAUUACAGUUUAGCACAUAAAUAUUGUUAUAUUAAUCUCUAGCACAGUAAUAUUAACCAAUGUUCUAACUAUCUGUUAUCGGGUCGGGGGUGGUUAGGGACCGCCACAAGAUAAAUCGGCGCGGCGAUGAUUAAUCAGAAAUAAAUCGAUUUUUUGAUUUAAUGUAAUAUAUUUGUAUAAACAAAAAAUGAACAUGAUUCUCUCCCCAUUGUUUAUAUAUUCUCACAUAACAAAAGUUUAACAAUAGUGAGAUAGAGAAUGUCGCCGCGGAGUGUGGAUUGUUAUGUGUAUUUUUUUUACGCCAGGUUCUUCUUACGGUUGGUGACUUUGAUUUUGAUUGAAAGAGAUAAUGAGUUGGAAUUGAAAAAAAAUUAAAAAUACGAGCCCUAUUUUUCUUAAUAAAAAAAUAAACAAUAAAAAUUAGAAACAAAUAUUUUUCCAAUGUAUCGCUCGAAGUUUGACCCGAUAUAUCGGUUUGACACGCCUUGGACCGUCUUACCGUCAAAAAACCGAUUUUUAAAAUCGCCACACAAAUAUGUAAGGUUUAUGUCCGCCACCGAUAUGGCGGCUGAUAUAUCGGCCGUCACGACCGAUAUUUAGAACACUGAAAUUAACACAACAAAAAUACAAAAUCAAUUUCAGUUCCAAUUUCAAAAUUUACAGAAUCUAAAAAUUAAUUACAAUUCUCAAGCGUCAGGAAAUUUCAAAAUUAAUUGAAGAGUCUAUUAAUCCUUUCCCUAAUGAAAAAAGAAAAGAGGGAAGAACAAAAGUACAAAAUUUAUUGCACAUGAGAUAUAUGUGAAUUAUAAUUAGGGGUGAAAGUCGGAUCGAUCGGAUCCGAAUUGCCUUUCCGGAAAAAAAAAUAAAAAAAAUUGGAAGUACAAAAUCAAUUUCAAUUCCAAUUCCAAAAGGUCUGGAAAUUUCGGAAUUUCGGAAAAAAAAAAAAAUCGGAAAUCAGAUAAGUUUUAAAAUUUCAAAACUUGGCGGAAAUUUUCUGAAAAUUUCAUAAUCUUUCAAAAAUAAGAACAUCCACGUCGAUAAAAGUAAAACAAAUAGCUACUAAUGUGAGUUCAAAAAAAUCAAUAAAAAUAAACCAUAUCAUAAUAUACAAUAAAACUUCUAACAAUUCAAUAUGUCAAAAUCCUAAAACAAAACUUAAAUCAAAUUACUAUUUCAGGAAAACAAAAGUAUAAUAUAAUAUAUAUUAUUUAUAGGUGUAUUUCUCCGAAAAAAAUGGAAUUUUGCGGAAGUAUUUAACGGAAAUUAAAUCAGGUCGGAAAUCGGAAAUUCCAAACUUUUUUAUAUAAUUCUGAUUCCAAUCCAAAAAAAUUGUAAAAAAACCGGAAAUCAGAAUUUCGGAAGUCGGAAUGAAAAAAGUUGUUGCAAAAUCGAAACUUUUCGGAUCAGAACCGACGGAAAUUGGAAUUUCCGUUCCAACUUGCACCCCUAAUUAUAACAGACAAUAUAAUGGUUUUAUACUUAUAAAAAACGUUGUUCACAUAACCACACUUAUAGGAUUAUUAAGAAUAGAAGAAAAAUUAUAAACCUUUUAUACUACUUAUAAAAACGUCUUCUUUCAGGAAUGCGUUUAUGCAUAUCUGCGCUUUAUAAAUAUUAGACUACAUAUAUCAAGAGUUAGUUAGAUUAGUUAGGUAUAUAAACAGAUUCUUCAAUUUCAUCUAUCAAUGGAGUUCUCUCUCUUAUGUUUUUGAUCGUAUGAUAUGGUAUCAGUUAGUAAAUCGUUUCCACUUAUUCACUAAUUAUUCAACAACUUCUUGUAAAGACACUAUUCGUUACAUUUGUCCUCUUGCUAAACAAAGAAGACUUGCAUUUAUUGAGUUAAUUGCACAAAACCCCUUGUGUAAUCCCACAUUGUCGAAACAUGUUAAACAUAUUAGCAAGGAUCCUGUUGAAUUUGAAUGCCUAUCAAAGUCCACUCAUCUGUUGAGACAGACUACAAGUUACGACAUUGGGUGACGUAACAUAAUUGUUGUGUUGUCACAGUAAUAAAUCUACGAAAAGAAGAAUAAAGAACACAACAAUUUAAUGUGGUUCGGAUACAAAUGUACCCUACAUCCACGAGGACUUGCAAAACUAGUUCAGAUUUAAGUGUACAUUAAUAGGACUUAAUAAAAACACUAAAGACUCCCUCUUUAUGUGAUAUGCCGUUCUUGCACACGACUCGAACUUGUUGAUAAUCAAAGCAAUUCAUCCAUCCGCACUCUUGGACUUCCUCCAAUGUUGAACUCCCUUCAAACGGCGGAUCGACCUCUCCUGAGAUCUUUUAAGCACUUCUCCCGAAACGCCGAUCUUCUUUAUGGCCUGGUAGAAGAAACCUGUUCUGUUGCCACACCUGCCGUGCAGACAGGGCUGCAGCACGGGCUGCACCCUUCAAAGCCUUUAUGCUGGGAUUUUUCUUAUUAAAGCUCCAUCGGACUCAUAUGAGGUUGAGGGCCUUAUAUAGGCACGAAAUCCACCACCCUAAACCUAACUUGGGCCCUAAGAAAUCGAUUAACUAGGUAAUAGAAUCCUAGUCGAUUUCUACUUCUAUUCUAGAUAAGUACAAAAGAUACCUAACUAGAAUAUAAUACAUGGAAAUAAAUCUAAGUCCUAAUAACAAUAUUACAAAAAUAGGACUCUAAUUAAUUCCAAAAUAAACAUGGAAAACAAAUCUUUGCCAAUCUUUAAUUUCCACGUAUGGCGGAUUUCUUCAAUCUUCACAAAUAGAAAUCUCGUGCCAACAGAUCCCAUAUGUUGUGUUCUACGAAGCACACCGUCCCUUACUUCAAAUUUGAUGGUUGACUUAUAUGAAAAUAAUGAAACUACCCAUAAUAAGUAUUUAAUAAUAUUUCAAUUUAAAACAAAUAAAAUAUAAAAAAUAAUUUAAUCUAAAUAAAUAAAUAAUAUCACACAAAUGGGCACAAACCAUCUUGGCAUCUUCUCUCCCCUUCACCGGACGUCUCUGGCUCACUAGGAAAAAGGAGUCCCGUGAAGAAUGGUUGGCUGACAAUGGUGGGCGGAGAUGUUUUUUUCUUUUUUUGCAGAUUGGAAGAAAAAAGUGUAAGGCCGACAAUCUCGGUGGACGAAAAUUGUGGAUUCAGAAGUUACAGUAGCGGUGGUGGCAUUCAAAGACGGCGGCGCGGUAGUAGCCAAUGGCGGAGCUAGCCACCCUUUGGCAAGGGUGGGCUCCAGCCCACUCUCAUUUUUUUUAAAAAAAUAUACUAUAUAAUAUAUCUAUAUAUAAUUAGCCCACCCAAAUAGUUUAAUUUAGCCCACCCAAGUAAUUUAAGUUUAGCUUAUCUACCAAAAAAAUUAUAUUAUAUCAGUUGAAGUUUAUAAUUUGUAGUUAUUUUAUGUUAAUGAAUAAAAAAAAAUUUGGGGGCGCUGCCUCCGAACCCCCGUAAAUGUUAAGCUCACCCACCCAAGUAAUUUAGUGUAGCUUAUAUUAGUUUAAGUUUAUGAAUUUUUAGUUGUUUUGUGCUAUAUUUUUAUGUGAAUGAAUCAAAAAUAAAUAAAUAAAUAAAUUCGGGGGCGCUGCCCCCGUACCCCCGUUAAUGUUAAGCCCACCCUGCAUCGAAUUCCUGGCUCCGCCACUGGUAAUAGCGGUGGUGGAUCCACAGAGUCGGCUUCAAGUUUGGCGGAAUAAAUGUGUUGUGGCUGGAAAGGUUCAGAUACAAAGNNNNNNNNNNNNNNNNNNNNNNNNNNNNNNNNNNNNNNNNNNNNNNNNNNNNNNNNNNNNNNNNNNNNNNNNNNNNNNNNNNNNNNNNNNNNNNNNNNNNNNNNNNNNNNNNNNNNNNNNNNNNNNNNNNNNNNNNNNNNNNNNNNNNNNNNNNNNNNNNNNNNNNNNNNNNNNNNNNNNNNNNNNNNNNNNNNNNNNNNNNNNNNNNNNNNNNNNNNNNNNNNNNNNNNNNNNNNNNNNNNNNNNNNNNNNNNNNNNNNNNNNNNNNNNNNNNNNNNNNNNNNNNNNNNNNNNNNNNNNNNNNNNNNNNNNNNNNNNNNNNNNNNNNNNNNNNNNNNNNNNNNNNNNNNNNNNNNNNNNNNNNNNNNNNNNNNNNNNNNNNNNNNNNUUUUUCUUAUUUCUCAAAUAUGACUUAAGUUUCAUAAAUUAGAAGAAAAUGCUCUGAAUGUUUUUGUAUUUUUAUGGGUUGUGCCGAAAAAGCUUAAGGAUCCGUUUUUCUUCCCUUUUGUUUUACUGGAUUUGGAAUAGAAAUGAACUUCAGGCUCAGAGCUGGGUUUGGUUGAUGUUUUUUGCCGAAAACAAUCAGGGGAAAAGAAGUGGCUUGUUCUUGAGGUUGAAGAGGGCUUAACUCAAAAUAUAAAUAACUCAAUUGAAAAUUUUAGAAAAAUCAUUUUAGUGCUUCUACAAAUUAUGCCGCAUUUAGUUAUUUUAUGGUCAAGAAAAGAAUCCCCAGUCGCAUUCAUGGGGAGUGCAACACACGAUCAGCUUACAGAGACCUUAUUGACUUUGACUAAUUUUUAUAGGGGAUAUUUGCUAAUUAUUUUAACACGAGGGUUUUUCCAGCAAUUAGAGAUCACACAUGGGUGGUCUUUGCAAAAAACCCUGCAUUUAUUAAUAAACUUUUACAAUUUCUCACUCAUUAUCAAACAUUUAUUAUUAACAUGAUUUCUAAACUUUUACAAUUUCUCACUCAUUAUCAAACAAUAUUCUCUGUUGAUUACAAUAUUUUUUAGACUAAGAUCCUGUUGCAAAAAUUGUCACUGUUAAAACCUUGAUUGCUCUCCAUGUUCUAAAAAGCAUCUCAUUAGUUCGACAUUAGCAAUGCAUUUUUUAAUGAUGAUCUAGUUGAAGAAGUUUACAUGAACUUACUUCUGGGUUAUACUGGUCAAUAAUUGCCGACCAUCCGACUCAAUUUGUCGGGCCAAUAAUUUUAACCGACCCAUGUAUAGUUUCUAAUUUGUUGAAAAGUUGGUUGAUCGAUAUUACCCGACCAACCGACCAACCGACAUUUCCCUUCUCUUUUUUACCUCUCUUUCUGUUUUGAAUAACUAUUCAAUUUCAAUAUUUAAUUUUUGAUAUUUCGGUGAAGUGAAUGAAAGUACAUAACUAAAAAAAACUCUACUCUUCAUUCUUCCCUAAUCUUCGACUUCUCUCUCUCUCUCUCUCUCUCUCUCUCUCUCUCUCUCUCUCUCUCUCUCUCUCUCUCUCUCUCUCUCUCUCUUAUAACACAACAAAUGUUCUUCAACAGUUCUAACUGUUGAACCGAUCUUCCGAUUUUUGCAUUCUACAAUGACAAUAAAACACAUAAAAUGAUCAAAUUCAUGCACUUAUUAAGUCAAGUAGAAGAAAUAAUUCGGAAUUAAUAAUUGAAUAAAAUCAUAGAAUAAGAAAACUAGCUACUAAUAUUUCUUAUGAAAAGAGAAAACAAAUAAUAACUAAGGCGGACAUUCGUCAUUCCGCUGCCUUGCUCGCCAGUCGUCUUCUCGUUUGCGGUCUUAAAAAAAUUGUGAUUGGAUGUAGAGCUUUUGUUGCUUUUAUAGUUUUUUCUUGAUAAGGAUGUAGGGAAAUCUAAUAGGAGUCAAUUUCAGCAACUUUUUCCCACCAAGAUCCAUUCUCCAAUUUUGACUAUGUUAGAAUUCGAAUGUUGGAAAAUUAUACGAAAUAAGAAUAGCAUCCCUCUAAAAUAGCUUUCCAUGUCGGUGGAAUAAAGUGAUUUGGACUCUAGAUGAGAGAUAUGCUCGAAAUUAAUUGUGGACACUGCUAGUGUUGUUGUGAAAUUCUUUUCUUCCAAUUUGAUUUUAUUUUCUUAUUUGCAUUUUUUUCUUUUCCUUUUGAUAUUUUUUCUUUCCUUCUUGGACAUCCACUUCUCGAUUUGCAACUAUAAAACACAAAAAAUCCACGUAACGUAAACGUAUUGAGUAUACCCGGGGCUUGAGCCCUGGGUAGACACUUUGACGAUCAAGUUAGUAGGAGAAAACAGUUCAAAAAGAGUAAAUAAAUAAUAGGAAAACACACCCCUGAAUUACAAAACGUACCGAUUACCGCCCUACCGUUUGAAUUCCGUUAAAAAUGAUGCUGUCAUAGUUUGAUUUUCUAGUUCCUAGCCGUUACCAUACCCGUUGCAUUAUUUCUGACUUGUUUACCCCUCUGUUAGUGUAUAUAUAUAUAUAUAUAUAUAUAUAUAUAUAUAUAUAUAUAUAUAUAUAUAUAUAUAUAUAUAUAUAUAUAUAUAUAUAUUAUAUAUAUAUAUAUAUAUAUAUAUAUAUAUAUUGUGCAAGGCUGAACACUUAUAUGUGCCUCUUUUAUUUUAGUUUUUCUCUCAUUUUUUUCACUGGAAAUUAUUUCUUUUUCGCUCUUUUUUCUUCUUCUUAAUUUCACUUUAUUUUUAUUUUCUUUCACAUUUUCUCACUGGAAAUUAUUUCUUUGAUGCUCUCUUUUUCUUCUAGUUUUCAUUAUAAUGUCCAGUGACAACUCUAGUUCACAAAACUUUUGUUUUUCAUUUCACAAAUCUAAGCAUUACCUGAGCAACUUUCCAGGGACAACAUGUAGAUGCAAAAAAACUGUUGCAAUUUGCACGGCCUGGACCACUCAAAAUCCAGGAAGAAAAUUUACCGGUUGUCUCGACUGGGAUGUAAGGAUAUUUUAAUUUAUUUUGCUUAAUAUUUUGAAAUCACAUCUUAUACUAAAAUCAUUACAUGUAUAACUAUAGAAGCAAAGUGGAUGCAAUUUUAUUCAAUGGCUUGAGCCUGAAGUAUGUCUAAAGGGGGUAGAAAUCAGGCGUGGAUUUAUAAGAUUUUUAGAUAAAAAAAGUGAGAGGAUGAGCACACUAGAGGCUUUUAAUCAAACACAAAAGAUGAGCAAUGCACAACUUCAUGAAGUUGCACUGAAUUUGACAAAAACAAACAAUGAUAAAUGAUGAAGAUACAACAAAUGGAAGAUAGAGUCCACAACCUAGAAAAUAAGGUGUCCAAGUAUAAAUGGAUUGUAAAGAUUUUUGUAAUGUUCCCAUGUUUUCGGUUCUUCACUAAAUGGGUUGGAAAUGACCCAAAAAGUGAGAAGGGAAGUUUCAUGUACCUGCUAUAAUUUUAUUGUAAUGAAAUUCAAUAUUAUUCUAGUCUAAACACGAUCCAUCUGCAAAAUAAAAACCGAUUACUUUCUCAAAAUAUUAAAAGUAGCUAGCUACAAAAAAGUACAACAAAACAACCAAAUCUUGGGCAAUCUAUACAAUAUUCAAAUUAUCAGAAGUAGCUACAUGCCCAUAAAAGUAUUAAAAAUAACAAAAUAUCAAAAGUAGUUAGCUGCCCACAAAAUACCAAAAGUAGCAAUGAGUUUUAAUAUACGAAUUAUAUUCAAGGUUUUACAAAAACAGGAAUUCAUGAUUCUGCAAUGUUAGUAACCACAUUAAACCUUUUUCAAUUUGAUGACUGAGUGGAAAAUUGCACAUGUCCAAACCUUGUAUUGUGGACUUGUAUCUUCAUUAUGAACAUUAUAUGAGAAAUAUAGUUAAAUGUAAAUUUUGUUAUGUAUAUUUAAAUUUAUCCGUAAAUUACCUCUAUAUUUCUAGUAUUUUAAUCGCUUUCAACAUGGGACCUAUUAUUUGCUCUAUCCUGCAUCCAAAAUUAUCCUAUCAAUUUAAUGUAUGUUUCAAAUUUAAAGUUGUAAUAUAAUCAAAACUACACUAAAUUUAUGGAUGAAUUACCUCUAUAGUUCCAAUAUUUGAAUUUCUUUCAACAUGGGAUGUAUUGUUUGCUCUACCCUGUAUCCAAAUUAAUAAUCAUAUGAACCAUAUAUAAUUUUUAAAUUUAAGAAUACUAAAAUCACAACUAACUUCCUUGAAUUGGAGGCCUAAAUUCAUUGAGCAUUCUUAUGCCAUUCCAAUUUCCAAUUCCACUUUGUGGACCAUAUGGAUUGCCUCUUCUAUUACCAACUCUAUUGUUAUUCCCCUUUUUCGUGGUUCCUGAACCUUUACAAAUACUAGUGGAUGAAGGAAUAGCAUUAGCAAAUCUUGACAUUUGGAAUGCAUGAGCACUUGCAAUGGAUGUUGAGGGCCUAGACUGAGGACCGACAUCAGCUAUACCAACAGGUGGUCUUGAAGUAGUCUAUACAUGAAAUAAGAAAAUUCAGUGAUUAUACAUAACAAGAAUGAAGUAACAAUAUGAACAAACUCAAAUUUAUAUCACCUGUUUUUUCUUUCUUGGUAGUUCUGGAGGAGGUUUCUUAAAUCUUCUUUUGUUGUGGGUGAUAUCACCACAAUUUGAACAAGAAAAUACAGUUCCUUUUCUUGUUACCUUUCCACCAUCAUUUAUUUCAUCCAAUCCUUUCAUUCUCAUCUUUCUAGGUCUACAAGUGAGCUUCUUGAAUGGAGGAGGCAUUAUCCGUUGUUCUUGCUCAUGUGCAGAUAGUGGUGACCAUUGUGAAUAGUCUGGCACAUGCGUAAUUAUGUAUUUGUAGACUGUUUUAUACAUAUCUACAGAAUAAUAAUUCCUCACAAAGUCCUCUGCAUCUUUUUUCUCUUGUAAAAUAGCACAAGUGACAUGAUGACAUUGAAUCCCUGUCAUAUCCCAUUCUCUAAGACUACAAGAAUAUCUUGUCAAGUCUACAACCCAUGAUUUUUUCCCUAAAAUACUUUGCCCACAAGCCCUCUGCAGCCAUGUAACAUUCAAAAUCCAGAGCCUUCUCUUUUUAUCAUGUUCAGCUUCUCUUGAACUCUAGGACAAAUAUUGCCUUUGCAUUUCUCAAUCCAUUCUCUCUUAGUGUGAAUUCUGCACAUGAAUUGUCUCCUCAAAGCUUCCAUCAUGGUCAGAAUAGGCAUUUCCCUGGCUUCUUUGAUGUAAUUGUUGAAAGAUUCACAGAGGAUGUUGCUAAGCAUGUCACACUUGGGGCUUGUUGACAUCACAUGCUUGCACCAUUGAUGAGUAGGAAUUUUCUUCAACCACUCAUAUGCUUCAUUUUAUAUGGCUCUAAGUUCACUCAUUUUUUUAUUAAAUCCAUCCUCCAAAUAUGAUCUGGCUGCACUCCACAUCAAAUUCUUUAAAGCUUUGUCCUUGAACUGCAGUUUGAAAUUAGCAUACAAAUGUCUAACACAAAACCGAUGUUCAGUAGAUGGCAUGAUAUUUUGGAAGCUCUCGACCAAUUCUUUCUGUCUGUUGGAUAUAAAAGUGUAAUUGGUUAAAUCAACAUUACCAAAUGAACCAUUCAAUAACUCUAAAAAUCAACUUCAACUUUCUCUAUAUUCACUUUCAACCACCGCAAAAGCUAAAGGAAACAUUUGGUUGUUUCCAUCUCUACCAAUAGCAGCCAUGAGCUGCCCACCAAAAGGUCCCUUAAGAAAGCAACCAUCCAAGCCAAUGAUCGGUCGACAUCCCUCAAUAAAGCCUCUUUUCAUGGCAUCAAAUAGUACAAAAAUCCUUUGAAAUUUAGGAUUUAUAUACAGUGGAGGACCCUGAACCUUAAGAACAGCAGUUGAGCCAGGGUUUAUCUUUAAAAUUUCAUGGCAAUAUUGUCUCAUUCUAGAGUAUUGCUCGUGUACAUUACCCUGGAUCAUUUCAAUAGCUUUUCUUUUAGCCCUGUAUAGCUUUUGCCUAUGUGCAUAAACCUUCACUUCUUUUCGAAUAAGAUUUCUAAAUGAUUUAAUAGGCAUAGCUGGAUCUUCCAUAAAAGUUUCCAAGUAUUGGUGUGCAAGGUAUGAAGAAUUGGCACUCUUGUUUUCAAAGAUUCUAGGGCAGGAAUGAGGCUCCCCUUUAAGGCUCUUAAUUUGAAAUGCUGUGGAUUUUCCCAUUAAGCUGGCAUGUAUCCUCCAUCCACACUUUUUUUUACAACAAGCAGUCACUCUUCGUUUUUUCAUUUUUUUCAAAUUUCAGCUCGAACCCCCUCUUCACUGAAUAUUGUCGAAGGGCCUUUCUAUAGACUGUAGAACUGGCAAAAACAAGACCUACUUCAAGUUUCAGACUCUUCAUCAAAUUAUGGGAAGUUUUCACCUGCAUAUUCUUCAUCCGAUUCAUUGGCUUCUGAUAAAUUCUCUGGAUCACUUUGAACAUUUUUUUCAUCGGUAUGAAACGCAUGAUCACUUUGAACCUCAAGUACCUCAUUUAUUUGGUUGAUGUCAACUUCUUCAUCGUCUACAACAUCACACGUAUCACUCAAUCUAUCACCUUGAACAAAAAAAUCGAAGUCUGACAAAUUGUCCUCAUCACUUUCUGUGCUUGCUUCAUAAAUGGGAUCACUAAUAUCAAUGUAAUCACCUUCUGAAUCACCAUUUUCAUCUUCCAACAGUUUAUCAUCUUCUAAGUCAUCAAUGCCCACCACUAUGUCACCACUGCCCACAUGUUCUAAAUCAAUAUUCAGACUUUGAGUGUACAAGUCAAUCUCAAAUAGAUUUGCAGCAACAUAUAACUUGAAUAUCUGAAGAACACAACUAUCGUCAUUAAUUGGUCUGAACUCGGUUUCAUAUGGCCUUCUAAACCAAAUCACAGUAGUGAUCGGAUACCCAAUUUCUUUAACUAGGCCAAGUAUCUCGAAAUAGGACAUUAAAUCCAGGUCAACAUCUCUCUCAAAGUGAGUCAUACCUCCGACAUAUCCAGAAUCCGUAAACGUGCCUCCAUGAUGAAUUUUGAUUACAAAAAAAUAAUACGUCAUUGUAACCUAAAAAAAUGUUCAGAUUAAUAAAAUAUUAAGAUAACCAAUUGUUUCAUAAAUUAACCUGUAAAAUCAGAAAUUUUAUACUCUAAAAAAGACCCACAAACCCUACAAUAAACCCUCAUAUUUGGGCAGAACAAUAAUCUAGAAAAAGCCCUAGAUUCUAAAUCGAACAACCAACGCCUAAAUCAUAGAUACUAAUCUGAACCAGUAUGAAGCAAAUCCUUAAACGAUUCAGGAAUAGGAAUAAGAAUUGUUGAUGGCUUCAACCAAAUGCAUAAGAAAUCAUCGGAGUGUUUGCAAGAUGUGUUUUGCUGUAAAGAAAAACGAAGGAGAGAAUUGUUUUGGCUUAAAUAUUUCCCGUAGAAUGAAGUUUAGGGUAAGACUGUAAUUGCACAGAAAAAUUUUACAAAACUAACGCCGUUAAGUUUUUUAAGUUUGACCAAAAAACGUAGGGGGGUAAUUGGUACGUUUUGUAAUUCAGGGGUAUGGUUGCGACACACAACAUAAUUCAGGGGUGCAAACUAUACUUUGCCCAAAUUAUACGAAAUAAGAAUAGCAUCCCUCUAAAAUAGCUUUCAAUGUCGGUGGAAUAAAGUGAUUUGUACUGUAGAUGAGACAUAUGCUCGAAAUUAAUUGUGGACACUGCUAGUGUUGUUGUGAAAUUCCUUCCUUCCAAUUUGAUUUUAUUUCCUUAUUUGCAUUUUUUUCCUUUUGAUAUUUUUUCUUUCCUUCUUGCACAUCCACUUCUCGAUUUGCACCUAUAAAACACAAAAUCUACUUAUGAAAGCACAAGUAUAAUUAAAUCUAAGCAAAAGAUCCACUUAACGUAAACGUAUUGAGCAUACCCGGGGCUUGAGCCCCGGGUAGACACUUUGACGAUCAAGUUAGUAGGAGAAAACACUUCAAGAAAGAGUAAAUAAAGAAUAGGAAAACAAGAAAAAAGAUGACAUGUAUUUCUUGUGUGUCAGGCGAGUAAAAUUAUUCAAAUAUCCUAUGAAAUCAUUGUUGGGAAUCAUGCACGUGUACGCAGGGAAAAAAUAAAAAAAAUGAAUGAAAAACGUUUUUACAUAUAAACACGUGUACAGUUUACCAAUUAAUGUAUACCUUUUUUCUUCCAGUGCAAAUUAAAAACUUACAUGCAUAUAAUUAUUUUAAUUUAAUUAAAACACAUAGCAUGCUCGCAUUAAAUCAUAGAUCAUGCAUCAUAUUAUCAAAUAAUUCACGAAGUCAUUCAUAAAAAGAUCCAUGUGAUAAAGUGCAAUUCAUAAUUAAUAAUAAUUAAUAAUUACACAGUUAAUCACUAGCGGAUUCGGAUUUUACCUCUUGAAGCGUGAGGUGAAUGAUUCGACGAGAGUCGACUGUCCCGGAAACCAAUCUUUGCAGCCUGGUGGAGCAGCCGCGAACUGACAAUGACGGACGCGCGGGCAUCGGCGGUGUGUGUUGUACACGCGCUGAUCUUCGGGCGGCGCGUGAGGGCACGUGCAGCGGCGGUUCGUUGACUGUGCAUCGGCGAUCCGACCCUCUUGUCUUCCUCCUCCUGGAUUUCACCUCGUAAAUGAGUUCUACAAUUACAUGGCUCUAGACACGCAAAAGUUAGAAUCAAAUGGAAGAAAAGACAAGGAAAAGGACUAACGAACGUCGACGAAGGCGGGUGGUACCGACGAGGGGGGGGGGGGGUGGGGGGGGGGGUUCCUCUUUUUUUUUUUUUUUUUUUUUUUUUUUUUUUUUUUUUUUUUUUUUUUUCUNNNNNNNNNNNNNNNNNNNNNNNNNNNNNNNNNNNNNNNNNNNNNNNNNNNNNNNNNNNNNNNNNNNNNNNNNNNNNNNNNNNNNNNNNNNNNNNNNNNNGGUGGGGGGGGGGGGUUUGGGGGGUACAUGGCUUGGUGGAGAAGCAACGGCCAGGAGCUGAGGUAGCGGCCUAGGGUUUUGUGUGUUAUGUGUGCAAGACCUAUUAUUGGCACCAAAUUCUCGAGAUUAGUUUAAAAAAUUGGGUUUCUUGGUGUAGAAGAUUGUCAUUGAUUUUAUUCCAUGUUUUUUUGUUAUAAAAUUGUUUAGUCCAUAUCUCCUAGAGAUUUUAUUGUAUAGGACUUUAUUUAUUUCCUUAUUAUUUGCAUUAGAUUAGGAAAUAUAUUGUUAAGGUUCUUCCAUUAGGUUGUUGAGAUCAUGAAUGAUUCUAUUUCCUUAGGAUUGAUUUCUUAGGACUCAAGUUAGGUUAGGGUGGUGAAUUUCGUGCCUAUAUAAAACCCUCAACCUCAGAUUUGGGUGCUCGUGGAAAAAGAGCCGUUUUUGGCACAUGGAUGCUUGAAAGACUUGUGGUUUAGAUUCAUUUAUGAAAUGAUGAUCUUGUUUGAAGAAUACAAUAUAGGAAAAAUUAGAGCCCCCCUCCCCCCAUCUAGGAAAUAUAGUUAAGGAAACACCCUCUCUCAAAAAUAAUUAGAGAAAACCCCCUUAGCUAAUAUUCCACCCAUGUGAUAUUUUCAUAAUUCCAAAACUACCCUUAAUUGUCUAUUAUACUCUUUAAAAACCCUAAUCUUAUUUUUAAUUUUAUUCCGCCGCUACUCUUCUUCUCUGCGUUUCUCUCUUCUCUUCUUCUAUGUUUUCCCUCUUCUCUAUUUUCUUUUUUUUUUCUUUCUUUGUUUUCUCGGCAAUCUUCUCCCUGUCGCUGCCGUCGCCGAAAGAUGGAAAAAAAAAGAGGAAUCACUCGUUGUCGGCGUGUGGAGGAGAAACACACUUCUUUCUCAACAGCAUGUUCCACCUUGUCGACGUGUGGAGGAAGAAGAAGAGGAACAAGCUGUUGAGAAAGAAGAUGCACUCGUCGUCAGAGGAGAAUCAACGAAAAUUGUUGAUGAAUGUAUUUUUUUCUUUUCUUAUUUUUAUAGUGUUGGUUUUGUCAUGUGCUCAAAAAUUGUUUAUGGAGUGACUAACAAUGGUUGACAAAUACCUUUGAAUCGUUUCUGUUUAAAAAAAAUAAAAAAAUUGUGGACAUUGAAAUGCUAAUUGUGUUUUUUGUAUGAAUUAUUUAUUUUAUUCUUGUUAUGGAUUGGUUGAAUACUGUGUUGUAGCGGCGGUGUGGUGACAAUGGGGAGGCAAAUUUAGGGUUUUUUGGUGGAUCGGGCGGAUGACGGUGCGUGUAGAGAAUUUCGCGCAGGCUGAAACCUUAAUCGACUAUGUACAUGUUCAUAGUCGAUUAAGCUAAUCGACUAUGCUCUGGUAGUCGAUUCAGGUUGAUCGACUCCAAUUUUUUUUAUUUUUUGUUUAUUGAUUCUAAUUGUAUAAAUCAUUUAUAAUAUUUGUAGAUUUUUUGUUUUUGUAAUAUAUAGUUGAUGAAUUUUUUCGCAGUUGUGAUUUGUUAUUUUUAGUAGACCGACUAUGCUUCACAUCAUAGUCGAUUAAUAUGCUUCAUUGACUCCAAUUUUUUAAUUUUUUUUGGAUUUUCUGUUUAUUGAUUCCAAUUGUAUAAACCAUUUAUAAUGUCUGUAUAUAGUUUGUUUUUAUAAAAUAUAGUUGAGUUUGCAUUUUUGUAGUUGCAAUUUGUUAUUUUUAGUAGUCGGUUCCUUAAUCAACUAUAGUUCAUCAUAGUCGAUUUAAUAUGCUUCAUAGUCAAUUAAUAUACCUGAUGGAGAAAAAAGUUAAAAAACGAAAAAAAAAAAAUUAAAAAAAACAAAACAAAAAGAAAGACACGACUGAUGGAUCAUGGGGCUAGUGUAUAAGGUGGAAGACAUAAAUGGAAAAAUAAAUGGAUGAAAUUUGGAGUGGAUUUUUCUGAAAUGAUGCAAAAUAGUUUGAGUAUUUCCCAUUAAAAUAAGUAUUGAGAAGUUAUAUUAAAAAGAGCCCCUACAAUAUAUUCUUCAAUAUUUAACAUUUUGGUUUAAGCGUCUCAAGUUAGCUCCAUGGGUGCUAAUAACAAAGAUAUAAUUUGUUUGAACAGGUUAUAGUGCACGGAAAUCCAAUUAAAAUAUAAAAUAACGACUGACACAUGCCACACGUUACCACUAACUUUGAUUAAUUCAGGUCAAAGGUUGUUAGGUAAAAUAUAGUAAUCUUGGGUAAUGAGGAAGCAAGUGUAGGGCCAGACGAGCAAAGCCCCCUCAAUUUUUUUUAAUAAUAUAUACAGUUAAACCUCUAUAAAUUAAUAUAGUUGGGACCAUCAAAAUGUCAUUAAUUUAGCGAAAUAUUAAUUUAUUGAUAAAUUAAUAAUUAUUAAUUUAUACAUUAAUUAAUAAUUUAUUAAUUUAUGGAAUUAUUUUUAUUAUUAUUUUCAAUAAAUACAUUUUUUUUACGUGUAUAUUAUUCAUUGUACCAUUAGUUCAAUGCACUAUAGAGCCUUUUUUCACAAACGAAAGCUCUUAAAAAAGAAAUGGUGUUGAACAAUUUUCUUUUGAGUUAUGAGAAAACUAUACAAGAAGUUCUAACCAUGUUAAGAAAAGUGAGGGACGAGAUUGAUGUAAUGUGAACUUCAUCCAGAAACAAGUGACAAUUAAAUUAUAUUUUAUUAACCCUUCAUAGAUCUAUAGAUAUGUAUUGUACCAUGUAAUUUAAGAAUUAUUUUUAUGCAUUAUUAAUUUAUAUAUUAUAUGGGGCUUCUUAAAAUUUUCGAAUGUGUAUUAUCUUAUAAAUUUAGCGAAUUAUUAAUUUAGCACAUUGUCCCCAAGUCGGGACCGGAAAAAAUUAUUAUAUAAGUGAUGAUAUUAAUUUAUCGAGGUUCUACUGUAUGUAUAUAUAAUGUAUUGCUUUUGGACUGUAUUUCUAUAAUUUUUAACAAUUUAGUUCUAUAUACAAAGUUAGAUUAAGGAUUUAUAAUCGAAGAAAACAUAGAAAAACAAUAAAUGAGUCUACUCAAGUCGGCCUCAUUUGAAUAAAAUUCACUACAUUGUACUUAUAUAUUGAUUUAGUCCACCCAAUUUUUAUUAUUUAGUCCAUCUAAAGUCCAAAUUAACGCAAAAAAAUCCUACAAGAUUUUCUUUUCCUAUCUUUUGGUUUUGUCAAAAAGAAAAAUUAAUAAAAGGCAAAAUUUACUUAUUUUAAUGUACUAGGAAGAUGCACGUGUGUUGCACGUGUCUAGUUAAAAUAUUUUAUUAAUUUUUAUUUUGUAUAUAUAUUCCCCUUGAUACAUUUUUCCUAUAGUGUUCACAAUAUUAAAUAAAUAUCAACAAAUAACAUAUUACAAAUUAAUAAUAUAAUUUUGCAUUAAAAAUUCCUAAGAGAGGUUAUGAUUAAGUUAAAACGUUCAAAAUAGAGUAAAUCAGUGUCAGCGAGAUUUAAUGCCACCGCAUGGACUGCUCUAGGCAAAUUUUUACAAUUGCAAAUCUUAACUUUGUUAGAGCAACUCCAAGAGUAAUGUGCAAACCUAUUUUUUACAUUUUUUACAUAAUUUCAGCCCAAAACUUGAGCUCCAACAACAAAAUGGGUAAAUGCAAAACUUGCCCAAUUGUGAUUUUGGUUUCUCAAAUUUGAGAAACCAAAACUACUAUUUAACAAAUUAUGUAAAGAUAAAAAAUAAUAAAUUUACCACUAUCCAUCCCUUUCAACACACACAUACACAUACACACACACACACACAUAUAUAUAUAUAUAUAUAUAUAUAUAUAUAUAUAUAUAUAUAUAUAUAUAUAUAUAUAUAUAUAGUUAUUCAAAGUUGUUUUGGAAUUCAAUUUUUCAAAUUUAGUCUUUUUAUUGAGAAAUAUUAUUUUUUAUUAAUAAUAUUAUUAUUUCAAAUAAUUUUUUAAAUGGUCGUUACAAUACGGUCGUUCGAAUUUGCUCGUUGAAAUAUAGUUGUUUAAUUUUAUUUAAACUAAAAUUUUCUAAAUAAAUAAAAUAUGAUAAUUGUGUAAAAUAUAAACAAUGUUGUUGGAGUGUGAGGUUAAAAGUGAUAGUGUAUAACACUGUUCGUCUCUUAAAUUAUAGAUAUAGACAAUCAGUUUUUAAACAACUGUUGGAGAUGGCCUUAAAGGUUAAAUGAAAUCUUAUAAUUUAACAUUUAAAAAAAUCAAAUAUACGAACAUAAAUAAUUCUAAAUUUAAAUAUCAACAUUGUUGACUCUAAAAUACAAAUUAUUACUUAUAUGAAUGAUUGAAGCAAAAAGUACAUUAAUUUUAGGAUUUAUUAGGGCUAACCCCUUGUUGAGAUUUUGGAAUGAGGUAGAUCCAUUUGAUUUUUCCCUUUUUGAGAUACACCCAAUUAUGCCAACUUGGCACAAUAUAUUAGUUAAUUUCCCUAUAAUACCCCUAUUUUAUUUUUGGACGUCGGUUUUUUCCUUAUCGACGUGAUAUGGGAUUGCUGAUACGUUGCCUAUAAUCACGGAUUAAACUUAUGUGAGUAUAUUGGUGGUUUCAUCAUUUUCAUCAUUAUCAAAGCGUAUACAAUCGGGAUAGGAAGAAGUUUUCACCGCCGUGGUAGUAUUCUCGGAUCGGAGCGUUUUAUCUGGUUAGUAUGUACAGUUUUUUUUCAUUUAUUUUUGUCUGUCAUGUGUAAGUGUUGUUAUGGUGGUUAGCCAUUAUAAGGUUUGUCUUGAUGUGUUGAUUCAAUUGGUAUUAAUGUAGAGCGUUUGAAAAAAAAAUUACGUCGUGAUAUAUACAUCGUUAUGACUGAUGAUGUUUGUCUUGGAGGAGGAUUCACGUAGUCGCAAGAGGAGGGUUCACGUAGUCUGACCAGAGAUGUUUUAUAUGAGUGUCGUACUUGAUUUACGCAGUAAUCGAAAUAAAUACUUGGUGUGGUCAAGUUGAUGAAGUUGAAACUGAUUGAUAGUUGUUUUGUUUGUUUACAUCAGUCGAUUUUAAUGUAUUCGGUAGUACACUGAAAUGUAUUUGGUAGUGUAUUUAAUCAAUUAUUUGUAUUCUGCAUUUUUUAAGUUCAUUUGAUGGUUUUAGUUUUUUGUCAUUGAAAUGUAUUUGGUAGUUUAUAUAAUCAAUUAUUCGUAUUCUGCAUUUUUUAAGUUCAUUUGAUGAUUUUUGUUUUUUGUAGAUGGCUAAUUUUGUACGGAUUUUGUUGAGGUUUGGUGGGUUGGUUGCUAUAAAGAGGUGUUCGAAUGGGUUUUCUCGCGGUUCAUUGGUUGCAUUUGCUAUUUCAAAGUGGCCACAACUUGAUGGAUGGGAUAUAAGCAUGACAUAUAGGCUGGAUGACAUUGAUGAAUGUAUUUUGGCUGACGACGAGGACAUGAUGUCGAUGUUUGAAUUGUUGUCAGAGCUUUCGUUGGAUCGUAUUGAUGUUAACAUUGAUGGCAAACCUAUAGGUUUGCCUGGACCGAAUGUAUUACCUGCAGAGGUUGGUGGCACUACAAGAAAAGGGCCUUUUGGCAACACGCGAUACGUAUUGUUAAACUAUAUAUACGUAUUGAAAAGGGCCAUGGCUUCCCUGUUGUGUUGUAUGAUUUCACAUUAGUAUACAUAAAAAUUUCAUAUAACAGUCAAUUGUAUUUUUCAAUCACAUAGUAUAUUAAUGAUUUCAAUAUAGUACAUUAAUCUGCUAUGAUAGUAUGUUACGGUUUUAGUAGUAGUAUGAAAUUGUGUUACAAACAAUAUACCACUGAAAUGACAAGAACAUUGAGAACAAAACCAACGUAAAGUAAUUCCAACAUAACCAAUAAAGUACUUAAACACAUCAUAACACAAUCAAACCAAUAUGUCGAGUUAAAAAACUCUAGUAUAUUAAUAAUCUGAUAAUAGUAUAAUAAAAUGAUAAUGGUAGUAUCAUACGUUAUUCAUAAUAGUAUACUAAUGUAUUACAACGGUUUAACACUUAAUUGAAGUUACAAUGCCACUACAUCGUAAACACGACAUUAAUUAAACAUAUCAAAUCUUAGGGGGGUUUGGAAAAUUACAACCAUCGGAAUCAAUUGAAUUCAUUGAGUUUAUGUCCUCGUCGCUAUCAUCAAGGAUGCAAUCGACUUCUUCGUCGCACAACUGCACAACGCCUGCAGUCAAUGCCUCACUUUCAGUGGCAUCAACAGCUCCAACUAGUUCACCCCCACCCCUUGUUCCAGCAUCAUCAGAAACAACAAUUUCAUUAUUAUUACGAACUUGGGGCGACCCGUUAUUCUCAACAUACAAACAAAACCAACACAUGUUGAAGCCUAUUCGUUGCGGAUGUCUCUGAUGGCUUUGUGCUCCAGUGAUGUCCCCAGUGUUUUCAGAUUCCAUUUCUGGAACCUUGGGAAAGCAUCAGCAACGAUUGGUUCAAUGAUAUUUAUCCUCUCGCACAUCCAGAACUGAGGAAGCAAACUACUGUUAGCAAUCGACUACAUAUUAAAUAUUAAUAUACUAUUAAGACUAUGUAAAUAUACUAUUAAGAUUAUAUAAAUAUACUACAUGGAGAAAGUGGUACACUAUGUUUCAAAUUAAUAUACUAGCAUGCAUAUUUAGAACUGCAGGACAAUUAUGUGCACUAACAAAAUAUGAUUAUGCAGAGUGAGUAUGAGUUAAUGUAUAUACAAUUAUGCUGACAUACCAACAAUAGCGUUGUGCACCCACCGACUAAUGAUGGUUCUGUUGUCUGCACAUAUUUCAUCAGGAAUUCGACAAUGUACCCUGCCCAAUUAUAAUCAGAGAGUUUGUAGAGUUCAUCACACAGUAGUACCAUCCACCAGCUGAUUUGGUCUCCAGAAGUUGCAAGAAAACAGGAUGCAAGUACAUGAAAUAUGAUGAUACGAACCACAUCCUCAACAUCCUCGUCAUCCCUACUGUCUAUGUAUUCCAUCAUCUUAGGCUUUAACAUUCCCAAUUAUACUAUAGUCAAACAUGACGCUUUAUAAAACCCUCAAUCGAUUAUCGAAAUCUUAAUCGAUUGUAUAACUUUCUGAUCUAUAGAAUUAGGGGAAAUCACAUAUUACCCGUGUUCAGUAGCAUUAUGUCGUCUGCCAUUUUUGAUACCUAGUCGCCUGCAACAUAUUGCAGCAUGUUUUAGAUAAGCAAAUAGAUGCUGAGUAUCCAAAAAAAUAGACAAGAUGACUACCACGUUGCAGUUAAACAAAAAAGUUGACAUGGGUUACACUUCUGGUGGAUGUCUUGCCCAUCGAUCGUUGCAACACCACAGAAUUAGGGCUCGAUUUCGGUAGGCGUUUUAGAAAAGAUCUGCAAUUAAACCGACGUCACAGCCGAUUAAGCAAAAGCACAUCAACAUAUCGAUGGGUGAUGGCGUUUCAACAAGCAACGAAGACGUACCAAUGCUAGAGCGUUCGGAGUGCAGAAAGGCGUCGAUCCCCCGUAUAGCGCUCUCUCUUCGCUGUGGUGAUUUUUUCAGCGUAUAAUUUUUCUGGUUUUUUGGAAUUUUGCAGAAUGUGGUAGUGGGUUUAGUCGGGAAAUAGGGAGGAAUUUGAUAUCAUUUCAAAAGGUAAAGUAAUGAGAUUUGUGGGAUUUUGACUGAGGGUAUUGACGGAAUUUAGAAAAAUAUGGAUUUUUAUCUAAAUGACAAAUUUGAGUUUGGAUCUACCCGUAUUAUUUAUAAGACUAAGGGGGUUGGUUAUAUCUAAUGGACCCUUAAUUUUAAUGAUAAUAAGAAAACUUACAAAAUUAAAAUAAAUACAGAAAAUAGAUAAAUAAUAUUUAUUUUAACAAAACUACUUGACCUAUAAAUAACAUAUCACUAAUUAAUGUUCAGAGCUAACGAAAUAAUAUCUAACACCAAAUAAUGAAUACAUAAAUGUGACAAUUUCAUAACAUAAUAAUUAUAUUGACAUUUUGUUUGACUUCUUAAUAAUCAUUAUUCAUUAUGGAAGCCAAUCCGCUCAUGUGAACCAAGUUUGGAUUGGCUCAAGCUCCCAUGACAUCGAGCUUGAUAAUUAUACGCUCAAGCUCAUAUAUCAUCGGACUUUAUUACUAUAGACUCAAGUUAGGCUCAAAUAAUAUUUGUUGGAGCUUCGGAUUUAUAUCGGGCUUAUGGAUCCAAAUUCCAAACAUGUUAAAAAAAAAAUAAACUUCACAACCGAAGAACAAAAUCUAGAAUAUUAAUGAAAAACAAAAUAAGAUAAAAACCAUAGUCGCAAAAUAAGGCGCAAACCAUAGUAUUUUUCUUCAAAGAAAUAAAGUUUAAUGUUGCAAAUAUUUAAUCCUUACGUAAUUAUAAGAUUCCUAUUUGACUAUUGCUGCCGCCGCCACUUAAUUCCUUUGUUUUUUUUUUUUUUUACUUUUGCAAAAUGAAAUGAUCCAAUACGGCUUUAACUUGUAACUUUUAUGUUGAGCCAUAUCAUUAAUCGGACGGGUAUAUUCGGUUUGAGCCAUAGUAGACUCAAAAUCGGCUCAUAAAUGAAUCGAGUUUAAUAAAAUGGUCCAAACUCUGCCCGACUCAUUAAAAUUAUGCUCGACUUAAUUAUAGUCGAGCCGAGCCAUCGGGCUUCGGUUAGGCCCGACUCAAUGUCCGGUCCUAAUGAUCAUAACUUGUUCCAGACGCAUGUGUUUUAGCAUUAAUCAUCACAUAAAAUUGAUUUGUUUUCAAUGUGUCAAAAAACAGAAAAAAACUUAAAUAUAUACUUGUUAGAAUCUAAUUGGAUUCUAAUAAACAAGGGAUGAGUAAAGACUUGUGCAACAAGUCCUACAUACCGUGAAACACAAAAGGGAAGGCUCCUUGUUUACUUAAAUUCUUUAAUUUGUCAUUAAUUGUUUCUUUUAUAUAGGAAACUAUUUGAUUAAUUAAAAAGAGUUUUUGUGCAACAAGACUAUUCAAUAGUUCUUGUGCGUGUGAUUUUUCAAGAAAGAAAAGAUUUCCAUAAUUAUCUUUUAUAUUUUAUUGUCAUUAAUUGGUAGUUUGUUUACAUGGAAAUUCCCAUUAUAUUAGGAUGACAAUAUCUUUUAAUAAGGCAUGGACUCUUAUACGUCUCCUAUUUUGUGAAACCUAAUACAGGAGUUUUCCCAAAACUAUAAAAGGUGAAGCAGGAACAUAAUACGGUGUGCGUCUUUAUUGAGAGAAAAAGAUUUCUCUUUUCUUUGUUGUUCUUCCGGCGUCUUUUUUUAUCGAGAGAAAAAUUCACAGAGAAAAUAUUCUUGGCUCACGUUUUUAUUGUUCCAUCGUGAUACGUGAUUUUCAUAGAAAAUAUACCGGCUUUAAGGCUUUGUGGUGAAGACACCAAGAUUCAAGGAGUAUCACAAGUUUGCUUCUUCUAUAAAAAAAGAAGAUCGGUUCUUCGGGAGAGGGGCUUAAACAGAUCUCGGGAGGAGAUCGAUCUGCCGACUGAGGGAUUCAGCGUUAAAGGGAGUUCAACCGUGCGGAGCAAGGGACGUGCUGCAAAUUGAAGAUUUAAAAUUCAGCGUAUUAUACAAGAACGGCGUCAACAAAGAGGGAGUCUUUGUAUUUUGAUUAAGUCCUACUAUUGUAUUCGUAAAACUAAAAAUUUGUAAAUUUUAUUUGCAGGUCGCCGUGGAUGUAGGGUACAAUUGUAUCCGAACCACAUUAAAAUUUGUGUCUCGUUUAUUUCUGUUUUUACGAACUGUUGCAUCACUUCACGCAACAGUAACGAAAAACUGAAUCUGACACAAAUAAUCUAUAUCUGCACGAAAUAAAUUCUAACAAUUGGCAUCAAGAGCCUGUCACUAGAUACACUUAGUGAGAUUUUGGGAUUUAAUUUUUUAAUUUGUUUUAUGCAGAUAUGUUUCACCGUGAAGGAGCGUCUACAGUACGACCACCUCUCUUGGAUGGAUCAAACUACUCUUACUGGAAAUCGAUGAUGAAGAUGUUCAUCAAGUCAGUUGAUGAACGAGCUUGGCGUGCUAUUGUGACUGGUUGGACCCCGCCUAUGGCUAAAGGAACGGAUGGUAUGCGAACGGUAAAACCAGAAGAAGCAUGUACUAAUGAAGAGAUAUUACUUGCCAAUUACAACUCGAGGGCGAUAAACUCAAUUUUUAGUGGCGUUGGUGACAAUCAGUUCAAACUGAUAGCAUCGUGUGAAUCAGCAAAAGGGGCAUGGGAGAUCCUACAAGUGACGUAUGAAGGCACAUCAACUGUUAAAACAUCUAAGUUGCAGAUGCUAGCCACAAGAUUUGUGAGUCUUCAUAUGGAGGAGGACGAGACGAUUGCUGAUUUUCACGCUAAACUGUGUGACAUUUCAAAUGUAUCGUAUGCACUAGGUGAACAAUACUCGGAAACAAAGUUGGUAAGAAAGGCCCUACGUUCAUUACCAGAAAGAUUUGCUUACAGAGUUGCAGCAAUCGAAGAAGUGAGGGAUAUCAAUACGCUGAAGCUAGAUGAACUCAUGGGUAAACUGCAAACCCAAGAAAUGAAUUUUAGAGCAAAUAUUCGAGAAAAGAAAAAUGUGGAGAAUGUGGCAUUCCAGGCCGAAGCUUCCCAUGACAUCUCACAAGACCAAACAUUUCAUGAGUAUGACAUUGAUGUUGAAGAAUCCUUAGCAAUUAUGUCA
rnacentral:lncRNA from 1 species